UGUAUACAACAAAACAAAGCAAAUUCACACACCAAAAACACAAGACAUAACAUUACGUACUCAUAAUGAAUUAAUUUCUUAUUUUAUUAAAACACAGUUUCAAUUUCACUGCAAUUGAUUAUUGUUGCAAAAGCACUCAUAAAAGAUAAACGAAAUAACUGAUUAUCAAAAUCAUUUGCAUCCCCCCGGGGGACAGUAGUAGAUAUAGUCUGCAAGAGCUUUCUUUAACUUCUCGAUCAAACACUCUUCCCUUGUAAGCCCUGAGCAAUCAACAAUUUCAGGUGAUGCUGCGGGAUUAUUAGAAAAUAAAGCAUUUGGGUGAUAUCCUUGGCUAAAACGACUGGCUGUAAUAAGUGUGCUUUCAGUGUUUGCCACUACAAGUAAAGCCAAGAUGAUGAAACUAAGACUCUUCGACAUUUUCUAUUUAUUAAGUGAAUUGUAUGCAACUUAAUAAGAAUUAAAGAAGAUGUGUGAAAUUCAGAAAGUCAUGAGCCUCUAUUUAUAUGAAUGAAUAUUGAGAAUCUCGCUACAAUGACUUUAAUGGAAUUGAAAGAUUCCAUAAAUAAGAAAAAUAAAACAUGCUGCGUUUGUUUGCAUUAACUGUUGAUUUUAAUAUCGUGUCGCAUUAUGAAGGCAAUUUCAGUAUACAUUUAAUUAAUGUUAUCGUUUUUAGUGUGAUUAUUUUGUUUAGUUUAUUAUUAGAUUUUUUUUCUCUUUAUAUCAAUUGUGAAGCUAUUUUCUAAUAUAAAGACCCUCUCAAAGUCUACAUUGCCCUUCAUUUGGUUUCAUUGGGUGAUUCGUGCAUAAGAUUAUCUUAUUAAAUUGCAAGGAAAUUAUUAAAGAAAACAAAAAUCAAUUAUUUACACUUGGUCAAGUUGGCUUGUAUGAACGAGGAGGUUGAGAUAAUGAUAGAUCAGCCCUCAUGAUCCAUUAGUAAGAUUAAUUCAACAACUCUAAAUAGAUCAACAAUGUUCCUUACCGUUUAUAGGAUUUGAUUUUAUCAUUCCAUUAGAUUGAUUCAAUUUUUUUCCCUAUUGUAUCAAAUGACUAAUAGAGUCGACUAAAAAACAAAAAAGGCUUGCACAUAUUGGGCAAUCAAAAGUCUAUACAUAUAGCUAAAAAAAUUGAAAACUUGUAGUGAAUGGUGGUGGUGAUAGUUGAGCAUUUCAACUAACAAAUUAUCGCAACAUACGUGUUCAUAUGCCUUCAUAACUCUAUGUACUCCUGUGUUUUCCAUUAGCUAAAUGUUUAUAUUCAAAUUAACCUUAAACUUUUUCCUGUAGUUUAUAUAACCCUCAUUUGCCAACUCAUCAAGUUUGUCACCAUAAGUAAUUGUGCUAUCAAAUGCUCAUCACGAGGCUAUACACUUUUCUACUGAAGCUAAUGGCCUUUGGGGCAACCUUCUCUGCUACAAUUGUCGUGGCUACAAGCCAUGAGGCAACUACCUUCUUUGCAGUGUCAUCAUUUUAAGCUAAGUACAGUGCCAUGCCGCCAUUUAAGUGGGUUAUAUAAUUAAAUUCAAUGUCAUGCAUGCUUUAUAAAUUAUGAUCAGGUUUUUUAACUUGCGUUUUUUAAUAGCAAAUGAAGUUGUAAGCAUCUACCGCUUUAUGGUUCUGUUUAUUCUUUUCAGAUAGUCUGAUUUGGCAAUUAGUUAAUCCUUUGCAUGUGGUAAGAGCCUAUUGCCCAUCUUACAGGGGUGGCUUUAAACAUAGGUGACCCAGGUUGCUGUCUAGGGCCCCAUAUGUUAGAAUAGCCCAAUUGUGGUUGUCUCGUCUCUAUAUGUUAAGAAGAAUUUUGUUUUAGUAUUUUCUUGAUAUGGUCAAAUUAAUAGAUAUCUUAGAUUAUACUUACAAUAAGAAAGCUUAUUUUUCAGGCCACUUUUUUAUUAAUAAUUAUCCUAUUAUUAAGAUUUUUUACACAAAUUCAAUAUUUGAUAGCAUUAUUGCUAAAGAGCUAUAGUUAAUAAUGUUUUUCGCUAUUAGUUAUUUCAAGAAAAACCAUAACAUUUUUGUGAGUUUAAAAAAAUUAUUAUUUAACAUAUAAAAUUCCUUGCGCCUUUCUCUAUAAGGAAAAUUGUUAUGUUUAUUUGCUCAUUUUUAAGUAAAAUAAAAUAUUUUCUUCAAAUAAUAAUUUUGAAACAAGUAAAAACAAAAAUAUUUUCUUGGCUAUUUUUCUUUUUGAAAUUUCUUACUGCCUUGUUGAUUAUUAGUACUCAAGUUGUCAAAAAUUGAUUGCAUUUUAAGAUAUUUUAUGUUUCUUUAAUUGUUAAAACUGAAAGGCCUUGUAAAACAAUUUUUGCCCAAGGUCCCAAGUAAUUUAGAACCUACUCUGCGUAGCAUAAAGCUAGUAACGUUAUCAAUAAAUCAAAAUUGAGAUUGUAUAAGUCUUAUUGAUUUUGUUCAAUGCUCUGGGUGGCUGGGUUUCACAGUGUUGCUCAUAUCAAGCAUAUUUGCUACCUUGGCAAUAGCUCAAGUGGGCAAAAAGGAAAUUCAUCAGUACGCUAGCUACUAGUUUGCCUCCAAGUACCCCACUACUGUGAUCAAAUUAUGGGAGCAUUAACUGCUGGCUUCAUUGGACUCAUUAUCUAUUUGCUAUUGCUUCUCUAUUCAAUCUACACGAGAGUGCUUAAUCCCUUACUUGUUCAAAUGACUAGAUUCGUUGUCUCAUGUCCUUUUGGUCGCCUAGUUUGAGAAUUUGUUUCUUCUUUUUAUGAUGCUUCAUGUACGAUAAAAGUGUGUGAUUGGGAACUUGUAUUUUCAAGAGCAUUACAGAACAAAGGCAAACCAAGAAAAGAUAAAAACUAAUGACAUUGAUUAAAAUUCCGUGUGCUAAUUAAUCCUACAUGUUAUUCUUAGUGGUAACUACAUUCGGGUCUUGAACUUUGUAGGAGCUAACAUUAUGCAGUCUUUAUUUUGCAUCAUCAAAUGAUUAAUCUUAAUUGCUAUCUUUACUUUCAUUAUUUUCUUAUCAAAAUUUUUUUUUUCUUCUCUUACUGAUUAGCUGCAUAAAAAUUAACAAACUAAUACAUUAUCAUUUUUAAGUCAUCAAUUAAGUAAGCAUUUUAGAUUAUUCAGCCAAAUAACAAAAAUAAAGAAAUAUCCAAAUUUCAUUUACAAAAACGUAUAUUAAAUUAAAGCCAAACUAGCCAUCUCAAAUAAAUAAAAGAAUAUAUAUUUGCAUUUAAAAACAAUUGAUUUAAACCAUUUUGUGAUUUUAAAAAAAAUAGAAUGAAAUAAAACAAUUUAAAAUAGACGAAAGUAAAAAGCCAAUAUUUUUAUUUUCAAGUGACAAACUAAAAAUUCAAAUUACUGUGACAGUGUGACUUGUGUUGUGCUGCCCAAUAAUUGUAACUAGCCAACAAAUUGUCGAUUUCCUUGUAUAAUUUUUUUUCCUUUUUGCAUGUGAUUUGCAAAAAGACCUUCACAGCAUCACCACAAUAUUCAUCUAAUUAAAGAAAGUUUUUUGUUUGUUUAGUAUACGGGACAAAUAAGUGUCAAAACAAAAAGAAAAAAUUUAUUAUUUGGGGGUAAACUUCAAUUCAUCCCCAUCUCAAUAAAAAUCUUCAAUUUACACUCCAAAAGUUUGAAAAUCUUAAUUUACAUUAAUUUUAGUUCAGAAGAUGAACGUAAAUAGCGGGCACGUUCAUAAAUUUUCUAUUCAUUUUCUUACCAGUAAAUGAGGGUACGUUGAUGUUUUCACAUUUUUUAGGGGUAAAUUAAAGAUUCACGGGGCGUAAAUUGAAGUUUACCCUACAAAUAAAUUCAGACAGUUUUGUAAUAUAAGAUUUCAAUAAAAAAUAAAAGUUUAAUUUUUUUUUUUUGGUUCGGAUGCAAUUAGCCUCACCCUAAAAGAAAAUUGACUUAAAAUUCAAAUAUCACAAAUGUACUAAGAUAGUAAUAAUGACCGCUUGAUCAUUAUUAGUAUUUCAAUAGAUUGCCUUCCGUAGAUUGAUUCAACGAUAUGUAUACAACAAAACAAAGCAAAUUCACACACCAAAAACACAAGACAUAACAUUACGUACUCAUAAUGAAUUAAUUUCUUAUUUUAUUAAAACACAGUUUCAAUUUCACUGCAAUUGAUUAUUGUUGCAAAAGCACUCAUAAAAGAUAAACGAAAUAACUGAUUAUCAAAAUCAUUUGCAUCCCCCCGGGGGACAGUAGUAGAUAUAGUCUGCAAGAGCUUUCUUUAACUUCUCGAUCAAACACUCUUCCCUUGUAAGCCCUGAGCAAUCAACAAUUUCAGGUGAUGCUGCGGGAUUAUUAGAAAAUAAAGCAUUUGGGUGAUAUCCUUGGCUAAAACGACUGGCUGUAAUAAGUGUGCUUUCAGUGUUUGCCACUACAAGUAAAGCCAAGAUGAUGAAACUAAGACUCUUCGACAUUUUCUAUUUAUUAAGUGAAUUGUAUGCAACUUAAUAAGAAUUAAAGAAGAUGUGUGAAAUUCAGAAAGUCAUGAGCCUCUAUUUAUAUGAAUGAAUAUUGAGAAUCUCGCUACAAUGACUUUAAUGGAAUUGAAAGAUUCCAUAAAUAAGAAAAAUAAAACAUGCUGCGUUUGUUUGCAUUAACUGUUGAUUUUAAUAUCGUGUCGCAUUAUGAAGGCAAUUUCAGUAUACAUUUAAUUAAUGUUAUCGUUUUUAGUGUGAUUAUUUUGUUUAGUUUAUUAUUAGAUUUUUUUUCUCUUUAUAUCAAUUGUGAAGCUAUUUUCUAAUAUAAAGACCCUCUCAAAGUCUACAUUGCCCUUCAUUUGGUUUCAUUGGGUGAUUCGUGCAUAAGAUUAUCUUAUUAAAUUGCAAGGAAAUUAUUAAAGAAAACAAAAAUCAAUUAUUUACACUUGGUCAAGUUGGCUUGUAUGAACGAGGAGGUUGAGAUAAUGAUAGAUCAGCCCUCAUGAUCCAUUAGUAAGAUUAAUUCAACAACUCUAAAUAGAUCAACAAUGUUCCUUACCGUUUAUAGGAUUUGAUUUUAUCAUUCCAUUAGAUUGAUUCAAUUUUUUUCCCUAUUGUAUCAAAUGACUAAUAGAGUCGACUAAAAAACAAAAAAGGCUUGCACAUAUUGGGCAAUCAAAAGUCUAUACAUAUAGCUAAAAAAAUUGAAAACUUGUAGUGAAUGGUGGUGGUGAUAGUUGAGCAUUUCAACUAACAAAUUAUCGCAACAUACGUGUUCAUAUGCCUUCAUAACUCUAUGUACUCCUGUGUUUUCCAUUAGCUAAAUGUUUAUAUUCAAAUUAACCUUAAACUUUUUCCUGUAGUUUAUAUAACCCUCAUUUGCCAACUCAUCAAGUUUGUCACCAUAAGUAAUUGUGCUAUCAAAUGCUCAUCACGAGGCUAUACACUUUUCUACUGAAGCUAAUGGCCUUUGGGGCAACCUUCUCUGCUACAAUUGUCGUGGCUACAAGCCAUGAGGCAACUACCUUCUUUGCAGUGUCAUCAUUUUAAGCUAAGUACAGUGCCAUGCCGCCAUUUAAGUGGGUUAUAUAAUUAAAUUCAAUGUCAUGCAUGCUUUAUAAAUUAUGAUCAGGUUUUUUAACUUGCGUUUUUUAAUAGCAAAUGAAGUUGUAAGCAUCUACCGCUUUAUGGUUCUGUUUAUUCUUUUCAGAUAGUCUGAUUUGGCAAUUAGUUAAUCCUUUGCAUGUGGUAAGAGCCUAUUGCCCAUCUUACAGGGGUGGCUUUAAACAUAGGUGACCCAGGUUGCUGUCUAGGGCCCCAUAUGUUAGAAUAGCCCAAUUGUGGUUGUCUCGUCUCUAUAUGUUAAGAAGAAUUUUGUUUUAGUAUUUUCUUGAUAUGGUCAAAUUAAUAGAUAUCUUAGAUUAUACUUACAAUAAGAAAGCUUAUUUUUCAGGCCACUUUUUUAUUAAUAAUUAUCCUAUUAUUAAGAUUUUUUACACAAAUUCAGUAUUUGAUAGCAUUAUUGCUAAAGAGCUAUAGUUAAUAAUGUUUUUCGCUAUUAGUUAUUUCAAGAAAAACCAUAACAUUUUUGUGAGUUUAAAAAAAUUAUUAUUUAACAUAUAAAAUUCCUUGCGCCUUUCUCUAUAAGGAAAAUUGUUAUGUUUAUUUGCUCAUUUUUAAGUAAAAUAAAAUAUUUUCUUCAAAUAAUAAUUUUGAAACAAGUAAAAACAAAAAUAUUUUCUUGGCUAUUUUUCUUUUUGAAAUUUCUUACUGCCUUGUUGAUUAUUAGUACUCAAGUUGUCAAAAAUUGAUUGCAUUUUAAGAUAUUUUAUGUUUCUUUAAUUGUUAAAACUGAAAGGCCUUGUAAAACAAUUUUUGCCCAAGGUCCCAAGUAAUUUAGAACCUACUCUGCGUAGCAUAAAGCUAGUAACGUUAUCAAUAAAUCAAAAUUGAGAUUGUAUAAGUCUUAUUGAUUUUGUUCAAUGCUCUGGGUGGCUGGGUUUCACAGUGUUGCUCAUAUCAAGCAUAUUUGCUACCUUGGCAAUAGCUCAAGUGGGCAAAAAGGAAAUUCAUCAGUACGCUAGCUACUAGUUUGCCUCCAAGUACCCCACUACUGUGAUCAAAUUAUGGGAGCAUUAACUGCUGGCUUCAUUGGACUCAUUAUCUAUUUGCUAUUGCUUCUCUAUUCAAUCUACACGAGAGUGCUUAAUCCCUUACUUGUUCAAAUGACUAGAUUCGUUGUCUCAUGUCCUUUUGGUCGCCUAGUUUGAGAAUUUGUUUCUUCUUUUUAUGAUGCUUCAUGUACGAUAAAAGUGUGUGAUUGGGAACUUGUAUUUUCAAGAGCAUUACAGAACAAAGGCAAACCAAGAAAAGAUAAAAACUAAUGACAUUGAUUAAAAUUCCGUGUGCUAAUUAAUCCUACAUGUUAUUCUUAGUGGUAACUACAUUCGGGUCUUGAACUUUGUAGGAGCUAACAUUAUGCAGUCUUUAUUUUGCAUCAUCAAAUGAUUAAUCUUAAUUGCUAUCUUUACUUUCAUUAUUUUCUUAUCAAAAUUUUUUUUUUCUUCUCUUACUGAUUAGCUGCAUAAAAAUUAACAAACUAAUACAUUAUCAUUUUUAAGUCAUCAAUUAAGUAAGCAUUUUAGAUUAUUCAGCCAAAUAACAAAAAUAAAGAAAUAUCCAAAUUUCAUUUACAAAAACGUAUAUUAAAUUAAAGCCAAACUAGCCAUCUCAAAUAAAUAAAAGAAUAUAUAUUUGCAUUUAAAAACAAUUGAUUUAAACCAUUUUGUGAUUUUAAAAAAAAUAGAAUGAAAUAAAACAAUUUAAAAUAGACGAAAGUAAAAAGCCAAUAUUUUUAUUUUCAAGUGACAAACUAAAAAUUCAAAUUACUGUGACAGUGUGACUUGUGUUGUGCUGCCCAAUAAUUGUAACUAGCCAACAAAUUGUCGAUUUCCUUGUAUAAUUUUUUUUCCUUUUUGCAUGUGAUUUGCAAAAAGACCUUCACAGCAUCACCACAAUAUUCAUCUAAUUAAAGAAAGUUUUUUGUUUGUUUAGUAUACGGGACAAAUAAGUGUCAAAACAAAAAGAAAAAAUUUAUUAUUUGGGGGUAAACUUCAAUUCAUCCCCAUCUCAAUAAAAAUCUUCAAUUUACACUCCAAAAGUUUGAAAAUCUUAAUUUACAUUAAUUUUAGUUCAGAAGAUGAACGUAAAUAGCGGGCACGUUCAUAAAUUUUCUAUUCAUUUUCUUACCAGUAAAUGAGGGUACGUUGAUGUUUUCACAUUUUUUAGGGGUAAAUUAAAGAUUCACGGGGCGUAAAUUGAAGUUUACCCUACAAAUAAAUUCAGACAGUUUUGUAAUAUAAGAUUUCAAUAAAAAAUAAAAGUUUAAUUUUUUUUUUUUGGUUCGGAUGCAAUUAGCCUCACCCUAAAAGAAAAUUGACUUAAAAUUCAAAUAUCACAAAUGUACUAAGAUAGUAAUAAUGACCGCUUGAUCAUUAUUAGUAUUUCAAUAGAUUGCCUUCUCGUAGAUUGAUUCAACGAUAUGUAUACAACAAAACAAAGCAAAUUCACACACCAAAAACACAAGACAUAACAUUACGUACUCAUAAUGAAUUAAUUUCUUAUUUUAUUAAAACACAGUUUCAAUUUCACUGCAAUUGAUUAUUGUUGCAAAAGCACUCAUAAAAGAUAAACGAAAUAACUGAUUAUCAAAAUCAUUUGCAUCCCCCCGGGGGACAGUAGUAGAUAUAGUCUGCAAGAGCUUUCUUUAACUUCUCGAUCAAACACUCUUCCCUUGUAAGCCCUGAGCAAUCAACAAUUUCAGGUGAUGCUGCGGGAUUAUUAGAAAAUAAAGCAUUUGGGUGAUAUCCUUGGCUAAAACGACUGGCUGUAAUAAGUGUGCUUUCAGUGUUUGCCACUACAAGUAAAGCCAAGAUGAUGAAACUAAGACUCUUCGACAUUUUCUAUUUAUUAAGUGAAUUGUAUGCAACUUAAUAAGAAUUAAAGAAGAUGUGUGAAAUUCAGAAAGUCAUGAGCCUCUAUUUAUAUGAAUGAAUAUUGAGAAUCUCGCUACAAUGACUUUAAUGGAAUUGAAAGAUUCCAUAAAUAAGAAAAAUAAAACAUGCUGCGUUUGUUUGCAUUAACUGUUGAUUUUAAUAUCGUGUCGCAUUAUGAAGGCAAUUUCAGUAUACAUUUAAUUAAUGUUAUCGUUUUUAGUGUGAUUAUUUUGUUUAGUUUAUUAUUAGAUUUUUUUUCUCUUUAUAUCAAUUGUGAAGCUAUUUUCUAAUAUAAAGACCCUCUCAAAGUCUACAUUGCCCUUCAUUUGGUUUCAUUGGGUGAUUCGUGCAUAAGAUUAUCUUAUUAAAUUGCAAGGAAAUUAUUAAAGAAAACAAAAAUCAAUUAUUUACACUUGGUCAAGUUGGCUUGUAUGAACGAGGAGGUUGAGAUAAUGAUAGAUCAGCCCUCAUGAUCCAUUAGUAAGAUUAAUUCAACAACUCUAAAUAGAUCAACAAUGUUCCUUACCGUUUAUAGGAUUUGAUUUUAUCAUUCCAUUAGAUUGAUUCAAUUUUUUUCCCUAUUGUAUCAAAUGACUAAUAGAGUCGACUAAAAAACAAAAAAGGCUUGCACAUAUUGGGCAAUCAAAAGUCUAUACAUAUAGCUAAAAAAAUUGAAAACUUGUAGUGAAUGGUGGUGGUGAUAGUUGAGCAUUUCAACUAACAAAUUAUCGCAACAUACGUGUUCAUAUGCCUUCAUAACUCUAUGUACUCCUGUGUUUUCCAUUAGCUAAAUGUUUAUAUUCAAAUUAACCUUAAACUUUUUCCUGUAGUUUAUAUAACCCUCAUUUGCCAACUCAUCAAGUUUGUCACCAUAAGUAAUUGUGCUAUCAAAUGCUCAUCACGAGGCUAUACACUUUUCUACUGAAGCUAAUGGCCUUUGGGGCAACCUUCUCUGCUACAAUUGUCGUGGCUACAAGCCAUGAGGCAACUACCUUCUUUGCAGUGUCAUCAUUUUAAGCUAAGUACAGUGCCAUGCCGCCAUUUAAGUGGGUUAUAUAAUUAAAUUCAAUGUCAUGCAUGCUUUAUAAAUUAUGAUCAGGUUUUUUAACUUGCGUUUUUUAAUAGCAAAUGAAGUUGUAAGCAUCUACCGCUUUAUGGUUCUGUUUAUUCUUUUCAGAUAGUCUGAUUUGGCAAUUAGUUAAUCCUUUGCAUGUGGUAAGAGCCUAUUGCCCAUCUUACAGGGGUGGCUUUAAACAUAGGUGACCCAGGUUGCUGUCUAGGGCCCCAUAUGUUAGAAUAGCCCAAUUGUGGUUGUCUCGUCUCUAUAUGUUAAGAAGAAUUUUGUUUUAGUAUUUUCUUGAUAUGGUCAAAUUAAUAGAUAUCUUAGAUUAUACUUACAAUAAGAAAGCUUAUUUUUCAGGCCACUUUUUUAUUAAUAAUUAUCCUAUUAUUAAGAUUUUUUACAGAAAUUCAAUAUUUGAUAGCAUUAUUGCUAAAGAGCUAUAGUUAAUAAUGUUUUUCGCUAUUAGUUAUUUCAAGAAAAACCAUAACAUUUUUGUGAGUUUAAAAAAAUUAUUAUUUAACAUAUAAAAUUCCUUGCGCCUUUCUCUAUAAGGAAAAUUGUUAUGUUUAUUUGCUCAUUUUUAAGUAAAAUAAAAUAUUUUCUUCAAAUAAUAAUUUUGAAACAAGUAAAAACAAAAAUAUUUUCUUGGCUAUUUUUCUUUUUGAAAUUUCUUACUGCCUUGUUGAUUAUUAGUACUCAAGUUGUCAAAAAUUGAUUGCAUUUUAAGAUAUUUUAUGUUUCUUUAAUUGUUAAAACUGAAAGGCCUUGUAAAACAAUUUUUGCCCAAGGUCCCAAGUAAUUUAGAACCUACUCUGCGUAGCAUAAAGCUAGUAACGUUAUCAAUAAAUCAAAAUUGAGAUUGUAUAAGUCUUAUUGAUUUUGUUCAAUGCUCUGGGUGGCUGGGUUUCACAGUGUUGCUCAUAUCAAGCAUAUUUGCUACCUUGGCAAUAGCUCAAGUGGGCAAAAAGGAAAUUCAUCAGUACGCUAGCUACUAGUUUGCCUCCAAGUACCCCACUACUGUGAUCAAAUUAUGGGAGCAUUAACUGCUGGCUUCAUUGGACUCAUUAUCUAUUUGCUAUUGCUUCUCUAUUCAAUCUACACGAGAGUGCUUAAUCCCUUACUUGUUCAAAUGACUAGAUUCGUUGUCUCAUGUCCUUUUGGUCGCCUAGUUUGAGAAUUUGUUUCUUCUUUUUAUGAUGCUUCAUGUACGAUAAAAGUGUGUGAUUGGGAACUUGUAUUUUCAAGAGCAUUACAGAACAAAGGCAAACCAAGAAAAGAUAAAAACUAAUGACAUUGAUUAAAAUUCCGUGUGCUAAUUAAUCCUACAUGUUAUUCUUAGUGGUAACUACAUUCGGGUCUUGAACUUUGUAGGAGCUAACAUUAUGCAGUCUUUAUUUUGCAUCAUCAAAUGAUUAAUCUUAAUUGCUAUCUUUACUUUCAUUAUUUUCUUAUCAAAAUUUUUUUUUUCUUCUCUUACUAAUUAGCUGCAUAAAAAUUAACAAACUAAUACAUUAUCAUUUUUAAGUCAUCAAUUAAGUAAGCAUUUUAGAUUAUUCAGCCAAAUAACAAAAAUAAAGAAAUAUCCAAAUUUCAUUUACAAAAACGUAUAUUAAAUUAAAGCCAAACUAGCCAUCUCAAAUAAAUAAAAGAAUAUAUAUUUGCAUUUAAAAACAAUUGAUUUAAACCAUUUUGUGAUUUUAAAAAAAAUAGAAUGAAAUAAAACAAUUUAAAAUAGACAAAAGUAAAAAGCCAAUAUUUUUAUUUUCAAGUGACAAACUAAAAAUUCAAAUUACUGUGACAGUGUGACUUGUGUUGUGCUGCCCAAUAAUUGUAACUAGCCAACAAAUUGUCGAUUUCCUUGUAUAAUUUUUUUUCCUUUUUGCAUGUGAUUUGCAAAAAGACCUUCACAGCAUCACCACAAUAUUCAUCUAAUUAAAGAAAGUUUUUUGUUUGUUUAGUAUACGGGACAAAUAAGUGUCAAAACAAAAAGAAAAAAUUUAUUAUUUGGGGGUAAACUUCAAUUCAUCCCCAUCUCAAUAAAAAUCUUCAAUUUACACUCCAAAAGUUUGAAAAUCUUAAUUUACAUUAAUUUUAGUUCAGAAGAUGAACGUAAAUAGCGGGCACGUUCAUAAAUUUUCUAUUCAUUUUCUUACCAGUAAAUGAGGGUACGUUGAUGUUUUCACAUUUUUUAGGGGUAAAUUAAAGAUUCACGGGGCGUAAAUUGAAGUUUACCCUACAAAUAAAUUCAGACAGUUUUGUAAUAUAAGAUUUCAAUAAAAAAUAAAAGUUUAAUUUUUUUUUUUUGGUUCGGAUGCAAUUAGCCUCACCCUAAAAGAAAAUUGACUUAAAAUUCAAAUAUCACAAAUGUACUAAGAUAGUAAUAAUGACCGCUUGAUCAUUAUUAGUAUUUCAAUAGAUUGCCUUCUCGUAGAUUGAUUCAACGAUAUGUAUACAACAAAACAAAGCAAAUUCACACACCAAAAACACAAGACAUAACAUUACGUACUCAUAAUGAAUUAAUUUCUUAUUUUAUUAAAACACAGUUUCAAUUUCACUGCAAUUGAUUAUUGUUGCAAAAGCACUCAUAAAAGAUAAACGAAAUAACUGAUUAUCAAAAUCAUUUGCAUCCCCCCGGGGGACAGUAGUAGAUAUAGUCUGCAAGAGCUUUCUUUAACUUCUCGAUCAAACACUCUUCCCUUGUAAGCCCUGAGCAAUCAACAAUUUCAGGUGAUGCUGCGGGAUUAUUAGAAAAUAAAGCAUUUGGGUGAUAUCCUUGGCUAAAACGACUGGCUGUAAUAAGUGUGCUUUCAGUGUUUGCCACUACAAGUAAAGCCAAGAUGAUGAAACUAAGACUCUUCGACAUUUUCUAUUUAUUAAGUGAAUUGUAUGCAACUUAAUAAGAAUUAAAGAAGAUGUGUGAAAUUCAGAAAGUCAUGAGCCUCUAUUUAUAUGAAUGAAUAUUGAGAAUCUCGCUACAAUGACUUUAAUGGAAUUGAAAGAUUCCAUAAAUAAGAAAAAUAAAACAUGCUGCGUUUGUUUGCAUUAACUGUUGAUUUUAAUAUCGUGUCGCAUUAUGAAGGCAAUUUCAGUAUACAUUUAAUUAAUGUUAUCGUUUUUAGUGUGAUUAUUUUGUUUAGUUUAUUAUUAGAUUUUUUUUCUCUUUAUAUCAAUUGUGAAGCUAUUUUCUAAUAUAAAGACCCUCUCAAAGUCUACAUUGCCCUUCAUUUGGUUUCAUUGGGUGAUUCGUGCAUAAGAUUAUCUUAUUAAAUUGCAAGGAAAUUAUUAAAGAAAACAAAAAUCAAUUAUUUACACUUGGUCAAGUUGGCUUGUAUGAACGAGGAGGUUGAGAUAAUGAUAGAUCAGCCCUCAUGAUCCAUUAGUAAGAUUAAUUCAACAACUCUAAAUAGAUCAACAAUGUUCCUUACCGUUUAUAGGAUUUGAUUUUAUCAUUCCAUUAGAUUGAUUCAAUUUUUUUCCCUAUUGUAUCAAAUGACUAAUAGAGUCGACUAAAAAACAAAAAAGGCUUGCACAUAUUGGGCAAUCAAAAGUCUAUACAUAUAGCUAAAAAAAUUGAAAACUUGUUGUUGUGCAAAUUUUAAUGAACUGGCAAGCGCACGAAUCUAUUGUAGUAUAGAUCAAUGGUGACGAGUGUCGAUCCCACGAGGAGGUGGAUUUUAAUUGUAUGUAGAAUUAAUUUUGUAAAUGGGUGGUUAGAAUUGUGGUGGAAGUGAUUUAAAAUAUGCUAAAAUUGGAAUUGAAAUGACGAUAAUAAAUAUGCUAAAAUUGGAAUUGCAAUGGCGAGAAUAAAUUGUAGAGAAAAUCGAUUAAAUUGACGUACUUGGGUAUCUGGAUCCGUAUCAACAUGCAUCAUGGGCUAAAUAAUCCAUAUUAAUGCCAAUUAAAUCAUGAGGGGAGAAUCCACACCUCAUGAACCACGCUCUAAUCAAUAUGGUGCUAAGGGCUUAUCGUGCCAAAUAAUAAUAACCUUAUACUAGAGAGCCGGUGUAACCAAGGCGGUAUCUAGACAAGAUCAGUAUUAUUUGUCGACGAUAAGUCAAAUCAUCCACAAAAACUAGAGGGGAAAAGAAAAUAAAUUUACCAAAUUAAGCCCAUGACACAUGUUGAGACUUCACCUUCAACCCAAGCUUGAAAGAAAAUUAGCCACUCAUAAUUGAACUAGGGGCAAAAAGGGAAUUUAUUAAAAUACAAAGAAAAUACAAGAUGGAGAAGGAAUUACAGAAAAUGGAUCCCAAAAAUGGAUUCAAAGAUAUCAAAUUUGGGGGGGGAGGCCCCCUUUUUAUAUAUACAUGGAGUAAAUCAUGGCCAUCGGAUUAAAAACAGUUUGGACACUCAGGAUUGCGCCACGUCAUCAGUCAACAGUCCACGGUUUGACCACGUGGAUGAACAGUAACACGGUUUGACCCGGAUGAACAGUAAUGUGGUUUGGUUGAAAAUAAUCCUGUGUGAUGCAUGCACCGUACGUGAGAUUUUUCGUCCACUGAUAUGCUGCCACGUCACCAUCAACAGUACAUAAGAAUUUUAGUCCAACAGGAUCGUGACACCUCAUCAGUCAAUGCCACAUCAUCGGUCAAUGCCACAUCAUCGAUCCGUCUAUGUGAAUAGUGUCAUGAACAGUAACGUAGACAGUACCGUAUACGUGAAUAGUACCGUACAUGUGAAUAGUGCUAUUUUUCCUUUUAUGCUCCUCCUAAGGUUUUCGACCGUCCUGAGACUUCACCUUCAACCCAAGCUUGAAAGAAAAUUAGCCACUCAUAAUUGAACUAGGGGCAAAAAGGGAAUUUAUUAAAAUACAAAGAAAAUACAAGAUGGAGAAGGAAUUACAGAAAAUGGAUCCCAAAAAUGGAUUUAAAGAUAUCAAAUUUGGGGGGGGAGGCCCCUUUUUUAUAUAUACAUGGAGUAAAUCAUGGCCAUCGGAUUAAAAACAGUUUGGACACUCAGGAUUGCGCCACGUCAUCAGUCAACAGUCCACGGUUUGACCACGCGGAUGAACAGUAACACGGUUUGACCCGGAUGAACAGUAAUGUGGUUUGGUUGAAAAUAAUCCUGUGUGAUGCAUGCACCGUACGUGAGAUUUUUCGUCCACUGAUAUGCUGCCAUGUCACCAUCAACAGUACAUAAGAAUUUUAGUCCAACAGGAUCGUGACACCUCAUCAGUCAAUGCCACAUCAUCGGUUAAUGCCACAUCAUCGAUCUGUCUAUGUGAAUAGUGUCAUGAACAGUAACGUAGACAGUACCGUAUACGUGAAUAGUAUCGUACAUGUGAAUAGUGCUAUUUUUCCUUUUAUGCUCCUCCUAAGGUUUUCGACCGUCCUGAGUUCAAAAGUGAUGUCCGUUUUGCCAUCUGAUCUCUCAUUUAUUGUGAAAUGACUAUAAUGCCCCUAAAAUACAUAAAAUACUUAAUUAAAAUAAAACACAUGUAAUUAAAUCACAAGAAGGUUAAAUACAUAAAAGUAAGGGUUGUUAAUAAGACUUGAAAUGUAAAAUGACAGUUUUCUCCUUUAUAAAUAUGCAUUUUCUAACACUCAACACACCCCCCAACCAGCUUAUUGCUAGUCCCUAGCAAAUAAAGCGAAAACAAAAUUCAAAUUCAAAAUGAUUUUUUUUUUUUUUUAGAAACACUCGUGUUUAUUCAAUCAGAUUAAUGAUAGCAAUCAAAUAAAAGUAUAAGCAUUAUCUCCAGUCUAAAGCAACAUCACACCCACAUCAACCAUCCACAUGAAUCGGCCCAGUAGACUUUGUUAUAGCUACUUUCAAGAAUGACAUGUCAAACCCCAAAAUCUCACUGGAAGUAGUGACACUCUCACAAAGAAAUUAAACCCAAAAAAUAGUCACUCCAAUGAAUGGUAAUUGAGAGAAAAUAAUGAAAAAGUGAUAUCACAUGCUCUCACCAAGAUGAAAUAAAUAUGCCCUCAGCUUAGAAAUAAUACAAUCUCAAGUCAAAUAAAAAAAAUGUUAGUCAACCCAAUUUAUUUAUUUAUUUAUUUUUUUAUAUGCACCACUACAUCUGUUUAGCCCAUAUAACUAGCUUCUACUUCAAACUAUAGUUCCCUAAAAUCAAGAAGGAUUUUUAUUAAGACGUAACGUAGGUUAGGGACAUGGCUAACAAAUAAGGGAAAUAAGGAAAACAAAAUGUAUGUCUGAGACAAAUGCAGAAAAUUUUUUUUUUUUUUUUUUAGGAAGUUGCAAGGUGGAUUUCACCUAUGAUUGUUAUUUUUAUUCUUUUGAAACAAUAACUUUUGUUUUGUUUUUUUUCUGUUUGUUUUUUUUUUUUUUUUGCUUUUAUUUGGCAUAACUUCACUGAACAACAUAAUUAUUUACAUUUUCUCAAACAUAAAUAGGUGAUAGAACUUAUAAGACAUCGGGUAAUACUCCAAAUCGGAGUGGGCAAGAGGAUAAGUUGACAAAGAAAAGGUUUUUUUUUUUUUUUUAAAAAAAAAAAAGGCUCAAAAGGGGUAACUAUGGAUAUUUAAUAAAAGGGAUGGCUAGAAAGGCUCAAACGGAUCAAAGAUGGCCUUUCCAUCAUCUUUUAGGGCUCUAAAUAAUUAUCCAUAUCUACUGGUUAGAUGGGCCUCCUAAUGUAGCAACACACAUUUUUUUCUUUUUUUAAUUUUACCAUAUUUUUUUUAAAGGGUUAACUUAAAAGAAAUCUAGAGAUCGUGUAUAAAAUAAUAAACUGCUAAGCUGUAUAGAGAAUGGGCAAAAGGGUUACUCUCCAAGAAAAUGAUAGGCUCAACAACUCACUUGACACUUAUUUAUGACAUGUUCAUUCCUUCAAGCAACUCAUAUUUGUCUCCGACAUCAACAUGUAAAAUAGCAAACAUAGCGUAACAUCACUUAAGACCAAAGAUAAUACAAAUACUAAAAUUUGAAAUUAAUCAUGUCAUCCAAUGUUAAAAUAAAUAACACAAUUUUUUUUUUAAACAACAUUCUACCCCCCAACCUAUUCUAAACAUGAAAGGAAAAUAUGCAUGCAGAAAUGUGAAAAUGAUGUAGAAAAAAUUAAUUAGAAAAAGAAAUUUUUUUUUUUUUUUAACUAAGAAGAUGCGUUUCUAGAGGCACUACACUCCAUAUUCAGCCAUCUUCGACUCAAAAAUUUGAAAAUAUAUAUUUAUAAAGGAGAAAGAGGAAGAAAACAAUUUUUUUUAUUUUUUUUUUGUUUUUUAAACGAUGAAGAUGCGUUUCUAGAGUAACUACACUCCAUAUUCAGCCAUCUUCAACACAAAAUGUUAGCAACAGUUAGUUUCUAUAACAAAAAAUCAGUAAAAACUUAACCAAGAUUCCACAAUUGUCGACUAUUCCCUCCCCCCAACCAGAACGAAACAUUGUCCUCAAUGUUUUAAAGGAAAGAAGUAGAGUUUAGAAGACAUCACCUGGGUGGUGCAACACAGAAGAAAAUAUUUACAGGCGGAGAGUUAAAUCUAAUUUGUACUUCUUACUGCGGCUACUGUUACCAUCAUUAUUUGGUCGCUCCAACACAAAGGUCCAGGGGUCUGGCUCCGGUUUAUAAGCUUGUAACAUAUCAAGUAGCUCAUUAGCAGUGUGAGCACAAAUAAAGAGUUUUUUCACAUUAGAAGGAAUGAAAUAGUUUUUUAUUGCAUGGUUAAGAAAUGCGAUAAAGGCAUCAUAAAAGUUAUUGACAUUUAACAAACCGAUGGGUUUCUGGUGGAUGUGCAGAUGGGCCCAAGAUGCUAGUGUGAUAAGUGCCUCUAGUGUUGCAAGAUCUCCUGGAAGGAAAAUAAAAGCAUCAGCAUGAUUAAGCAUUUCAGUUAUUCUUUCUUGCAUACCUGAGACGACUAACUCUUCUCCAGUUAAUGAGUCAGACAAACUGCCCAAUGGUUUUAGGACUCUUGGGAUGAUGCCUAACACUUGACUUCCUCUGAUAAAAGCUGCUUCUGAGACCAUUUUUUAUAACCCUCGGUUACCUCCUCCAUACACCAAGUGUAAUUUUCUCGCUGCUAUGCUUCGACCAAGAUCUAUGGCUGCCUCCACGAACUCUUUAUGUUUGCCAUAGGUAAAUCCAGAAAGCACACAAAUGUUCUUGAAUUAUCUAUUGGGAGUAGCUGCCAUUGUGAUACUUCUCAAAAACAAUUUGUGAGUGCUUGACAAAAGAUAAAUCACAUUUAAGAAUCUUGGUGACAGUGGAUCACAGCUGUGAAUGAGGUAACAUGUCAGUGUCAAAUAACGCAUAAAGCACGUGGCUCGCGAGUAAAAAAGGAAACAGUAAUAAAAUUAUUAAAGAAAAUAAUGUAAACAAUAAAACAACAGUGAAAUGAAAUAAAAUAACAGUAAAGUAAAAGGAUAUUUACACAUAGUUGCGACUGUGGCUCACAUCUUCCUCUGGUUUUACGUCCAGAAACGGCUUGAACGCCCUCUAUGGGUCGAGGAUCGGCUUCCCAUCCAGUUUUCUUAUAAACUGACAAACAGGGUCGUUUAUAGUCAGAUUCCCGAGACUAUAUCGUGCAUGCUCUUUCUGGAAUAAUGGCCAUAACCGGAGAAUCGCUCCUUGCACAUAUCCACUGGGAUGCGUUUCAAGAGACAAAAGGAUAUCAUCCAAUGACUCCUUAUUCAAGCCAUCCCUAAUGAAUUGAAUCUUAUCUUCCCUGUUAUCAGACACCAUUCCUAAAGAACAUGGGUUUUUAUCACAACUCAUUCUGGCACACUUAUGACAAGCAACAGAAAUUCUUCGAGCUCGUCGUUUUCUUGCAUAAUUUCCUUUACCACAACCAGGCAUGAAUGCAAUAAAUUUUGGAGGUAACUCACCUGCCGAUCGUACUUUAGCCUCGAUUAACCAACGGAUGUCAGCAGGUAUGUUAUUCUUCAUGAGUAAUCGCAUGCGUUCGGACCGAGCUUUAUAGAUCGUAAGGAGGGCAUUCUGAGGAAGUGAAGGGAGUCGCUUGUGAAGCUUCGCUAGAAUCUCGUUUCUGUCCAUACUUUCGCCUCAGAAUGUCAGUUAUUGUGGGAAACUGAAGUAACCGACUUGAUUGUCACGGAGUACCGUAAUCCGCCAUUUCACCGGGGGUAACAAACUAAAGCACACAAACAGAAAAACAAAUUAAAACACAUAAAGAAAAUUAAAAUCGUCCUCUUAUUGAAUUUACCUCAAGCUCCAACUGGAUGUCGUAAACACUUCUCUCAAUAUCUCGGAGUUGGCUUUCUAGAUUCUCAACAUAGGCUACUAACUCUGGUGGUUGUAGAGCCCAAAUGCGAUGUGUUUUACAAAAUUGAAUCUGCCUUUUGAGAUGAGUUUUGACACGUUGAAGUGGUUUAAGAAUGUUCAGGAGGAACGGUCUAAGUAAGGUACUCAUGAUUAAAAAUGAUAAGAGAAAACUUAAUAGUUAGACAAACACAGUUAUGCAAAAAUAAUGUCAAUUAGCAAAAGAAUAAUAAAAAGAAAGAAAGAAAAAUCAAAUCAACGAAAAGAAAAAACAAAUCAAUUCAAAUCUGGUGGGUCACUCAAAUUUAUUUCGGUGUCUUCUCCAUGUGGUUGGUAUUCUAGAUAUGGCUUUAAUCUUUGACCAUUAACUUUAAACGUGACACCAUUCUUUGGGUCCUUAAUUUCAAUUGCCCCAUGUGGAAAAACAGUAUGAAUAAUAAAAGGACCAGACCAUCGAGAGCGUAACUUACCUGGGAAUAGGUGCAAGCGAGAAUUGAAUAAAAGCACUUUCUGACCUGGAGUGAAAGAUUUUCUCAUAAUGUGCUUGUCAUGAAAGACUUUCAUCCGUUGCCUGUAAAUUUUGGCAUUUUCGUAUGCAUCAUUGCGAAUUUCUUCAAGUUCUGCCAGUUGUAAUCUUCUUUCUGAGCUGGCUUGCUGCAUGUCAAAGUUGAAUUUCUUGAUGGCCCAAUAUGCACGAUGCUCGAGUUCCACAAGUAGGUGGAAAGCUUUUCCAUACACUAGCCUGUAGGGUGACAUCCCAAUCGGGGUCUUGAAAGCCGUUCUAUAUGCCCAUAAUGCAUCAUCAAGUCUUAAUGACCAAUCUUUUCUGUCUGGCCUCACUGUUUUUUCUAAUAUGUGCUUUAUUUCUCGAUUGGAGAUCUUAACUUGGCCACUGGUUUGCAGAUGAUACGGGGUCGCCACUUUGUGUGUGAUUGAAUACUUUGUCAAAAGAGCCUUGAAUGCUUUGUUACAAAAGUGGGCACCACCAUCACUGAUUAUCGCUCGAGGGAAUCCAAAGCGUGAAACAAUGUUGCUUUUCAAAAAUCCUAUCACCACUUUGUGAUCAUUGGUUCUGCAUGGAAUUGCUUCCACCCAUUUCGAUACGUAGUCAACACCAACCAAUAUGUAUUGAUGGCCAAAAGAAGAGGGAAAGGGUCCCAUGAAGUCGAUACCCCAUACGUCAAAAAUCUCAACCACUAAAAUUGGAUUUAGUGGCAUCAUGUUUCUUCGUGUAAUGCUCCCCAUUCGUUGACACCUAUCACAUGAAGAACAGAAAGUGUAAGCAUCUCGAAAUAUAGUUGGCCAAUAAAAACCACAUUGUAAAACUUUAGUCGCCGUUUUCUUAGCACUGAAAUGACCUCCACAAGCUUGUUCAUGGCAGAAUGAAAGAAUAUUCUGAAUUUCAUUUUCAGGGACACAUCGUCUAACAAUUUGGUCUACACAAUACUUGAACAAAUAUGGGUCAUCCCAAAAGAAAUUCUUUAUUUCCGCAAAGAAUUUAGCCUUGUCUUGCUUGGUCCAAUGCUCUGGAAGUUUACCUGUAACAAGAUAAUUAACUAUAUCAGCAUACCAAGGUAAUACUUCCACAUUCAUUAAUUGUUCAUCUGGAAAUGACUCAUUCAAUGGUAAUGGUUCUGUAAUUGUGUCAAAGUGGAGACGAGAGAGAUAGUCCGCUACAACAUUUUCUGUCCCUUUCUUAUCUUUGAAUUCCAAGUCAAAUUCCUGCAAAAGUAACACCCAACGAAUUAGUCUAGCUUUUGCAUCUUUCUUUGUGAGAAGAUAUUUAAGAGCAGCAUGAUCUGUGAAUAUAAUUAUUUUACAACCAAUGAGAUAAGAUCGAAAUUUCUCUAAUGCAAACACUACUGCUAGCAUUUCUUUUUCAGUAGUUGAAUAGUUCAACUGUGCAUCAUUCAAUGUCAUACUAGCAUAGUAAAUAACAUGGGGAAUUCGAUCAACACUUUGUCCUAAUACUGCUCUUACUGCAUAAUCAGAUGCAUCACACAUGAGCUCAAAUGGUAAGCUCCAGUUUGGGGCCUGAAUGAUGGGUGAUGAUGUCAACAACUGCUUUAAUUUUUCAAAUGCCACAAGACAUGAAUCAUUAAAGAUAAAAGGUACAUCCUUAGUAAGUAAAUUACAUAAGGGUCUAGAAACUUUGCUAAAAUCUUUAAUGAAACGUCUAUAGAAACCAGCAUGCCCAAGGAAAGAUCUUACUUCUCUGAUUGUUUUGGGUGGAGGAAGAUUAGAAAUGAGAUCCACCUUGGCUUUGUCAACCUCAAUACCUUUGCUUGAAAUGAUGUGACCGAGAACAAUACCUUGUUUUACCAUAAAAUGGCACUUCUCCUAAUUUAAUAUUAAGUUCUUCUCGAUACAUCUCUGCAGAACUAGCGUUAGAUGAUGUAAACAUUGAUCAAACGAGUCACCAAAGACAGAAAAAUCAUCCAUAAAGACUUCAAGUAAUCGUUCAACCAUAUCAGAAAAAAUGCUCAACAUGCAUCGUUGGAAUGUAGCAGGUGCAUUACAUAAUCCAAAUGGCAUUCUCCUAUAUGCAAAAGUGCCAAAAGGGCAAGUGAAAGUAGUUUUCUCCUGAUCUUUUGGUGCUAUGGGAAUCUGAUUAUAUCCUGAGUAGCCAUCUAGAAAGCAAUAAAAUUCGUGGCCUGCUAAUCUAUCAAGCAUUUGAUCGAUAAAUGGUAAAGGAAAAUGGUCUUUACGUGUGACAGAAUUCAACUUUCUAUAAUCAAUGCAUACACGCCAUCCUGUAGUUACUCUAGUUGGUAUCAAUUCAUUAUCAGCAUUGGUAACUACUGUGACUCCUGACUUUUUGGGGACGACUUGUACAGGACUGACCCAUGAACUAUCAGAAAUUGGGUAAAUGAUACAUGCGUCUAAUAGCUUAAGGACUUCUGUUCUAACAACUUCUUUCAUAUUAGGAUUUAACCGACGUUGCAUUUCCCUAGUAGAUUUAGCAUUUUCAUCAAGGUGAAUGUAAUGCAUGCAGUCUACUGGAUUUAUACCUUUUAUGUCCGCUAUGGUCCAUCCUAAUGCUCCUUUGUGCUCUUUUAAUACAUCCAACAACUUACCUUUUUGUUCGUCAUUUAGGAAUGAUGAGAUGAUUACCGGCAGAGUACUUUCUUCUCCCAAAAAUGCAUAUUCCAAUGUGUUGGGCAAUGGUUUGAGCUCGAGUUUCGGUGGUGAUUCUGAUGAUGGGAUGAGUUUCUUUUCUGAUGGUGCUAGUUGUUCUACUCUUGACUUCCAUUUAUUAGUGUCCAUGGAUGGUGCUGAGUCAAGUAGGGCGUUGACCUCUUCGACCGAUCUGUCAAUAUCAAAAUCCAAACUAAAGUGAGUUAAACAUGUUUGUAAAGGAUCAUCACUAAGGUUUGAAAGAAAUGUAUUAUCAACUAUUGUUUCUAUUAAAUCCACAUCAACAAUUCCAUCAUCUGCACUGUGAGGUUGUUUGGCAAUGUUGAAAAUGUUUAGCUCCAUAGUCAUGUUGCCGAAGGACAAUUGCAUAUUUCCGGUCCUACAUUGAAUAUGAGCAUCUGCAGUUGCCAAGAAAGGUCGGCCUAGAAUAAUGGGGAUGUGCUUCCUUGAGUCCUGUAUUGGUUGAGUGUCAAUUACAAUGAAAUCAACAGGAAAAUAAAACUUGUCCACCUGGAUAAGCACGUCCUCCACAAUACCACGAGGUAUUUUCGUGGACCGAUCUGCAAGCUGUAACACCACUGGAGUUGGGUGUAAUUCUCCAAGUCCAAGUUUCACGAAUACAGAGUAAGGCAAAAGAUUUACACUAGCUCCUAAAUCCAAUAAAGCAUUCUCAAUUGUGUGGUUCCCUAUACUACAUGAGAUAGUGGGGGAGCCUGGGUCUUUGCAUUUUAAAGGAAUUUUAUGUUGGAGUAUAGAACUAACGUUUUCUGUUAAAAAUGCCUUCUUUUGAACAUGCAUGUUUCUCUUUUUAGUACAAAGGUCUUUAAGAAACUUGGCAUAAGAUGGAACUUGUUUAAUAGCAUCAAGCAAAGGGAUGUUAACACUUACCUGUUUGAAGAUUUCAAGAAUCUCACCUGUGGAUUUUCCCUUUUUUCCUUUCGCUAACCUCUGAGGAAAUGGAGCUUUCAGAACGUAUUCUCGUGGGUUGGUUUCUUCUUUUUCCUCCGGUGGUGAGUCCUCAACAUUCACAGGUACAAUUUGAUUUUCUUUUGUCACCGGUAUCUCCACUUUAUUGUCGACUUCUUUUCCUUUUCGCAAGGUCAUGACUGCUUUGACCUCUCCAUGCUGCUGUGGUGAACUGGUACUUGCUUCAUGUACUCCUUUAGGAUUAGGCACUGGUUGACUUGGAAACUUGCCUUUCUCAACAGUAAUUGCCAAGGUCUGAACUGAAGAAGCGAGUUGUCCCACCAUCUUCUCGAGGCUUGAAACUGAUUGGGCUUGUGAGUUGAAGCCCGCUCUCAACUCAUUUCGUAGUCCAUCAAUGGUGCGGUUCUGUUGCUCAAUCGUGGAGUGAGUAACAUUCUUGAAAUUCUAGAAUGCAUCCUCCCAUGGUCUGGGUUGAGAGUAGUUCUGGUUCUGAUUGUAUGGUCUGAAUGGUGGCUGAGAGGCUUGAGGAUUUUGAGGAAUUUGUUGCAUUGGAGGAGCUGGAGCUGCUGGUCCAUUCUGUUGGAAUCCUUGAGACCAUGAAAAAUUGGGGUGGUCUCUCCAUCCAGGGUUAUAUAUGUUGGAGUAUGGGUUGUAAUUCGAUGGUUUUCUCAUUACACCUAUGGCAUUGGCUUGAUCGGAGUAUGAGUCAUGGUCAUGUGGUUCUGUUGAUUUAGCAGUCGAUAACGAUGCUAUUUGUCGAGCAAGACCUUCAACCAUCUCCUUGACUUCUUUGAUUCCCGAAGUUGACUCGCCAAUGUGAACCUCAUUCACUCCUUUAAUCCUUCUAGUAUUCCUGAGUGAUCGACUCCGUUAUUGGGAAUUGUCCGCUUGUCGCUGGAAAAACUCCCAAAUUUCUGAUGCACUUUUUGACAUUAGCUCUCCUCCACUUGUUGCCAUUAGCCAUUCUUGCACAUUCGGCAAUAAUCCCUCCAAAAAGUAUUGGCAUUGGUGCCAUUUUUCGUACCCAUGAUGUGGACACUUCAAGAGUAGCCCAUUGAAUCGCUCCCACGUUUCGAAAAAUUGCUCGUCCUCUUUUUGUGUAAACUCUGAAAUUUCCCUGCGAAUAGAAUUGGUUUUAUGCACUGGGAAAUAUUUAUUCAAAAAUUUUGUAACCAUUUGUUCCCAUGAUGCAAUGCUAUUAGCAGGCAAUGUAUUAAGCCAUGAACGAGCUCUAUCCUUUAAAGAAAAUGGGAAUAGUCUAAGUUUAACAUCAUCGUCUGAAAAAUUUUCAUAUUUAAAAGUUUGACAAAUGGCAUGAAAAUCAUUCAGAUGAUUAUAUGGGUCCUCAUUUUCUAGGCCAUAGAAUGUGGGGAGACAAUUUUGCACACUAGGUUUUAAUUCAAAACUCCUAGCAGCUACAUUUGGGUAUCUAAUACAUGAUGUGCUCAAAUUAGCUAAGGGACUAAAAUAGUCCUUAAAUGGCCUCUCCUGUGGUGCUUGUAAAUCCAUUCCAAAUUUAUUUUUUAAUGUGCUUUUGUGUGCGAAGUGUUUUUUCUAGUUCAAGGUCUAUAGGUUCAAGAUUAGGUAAUAAUGACCUACGACCAUGCAUGCAAAAUAAAUAAAAUAAAAAUAAAGAUGGGAACAAAAACAAAUAAAAAUAAAGAAGAGGGAGAAAUUACGAUACUAACCUUAUUGCGCUAUUACAACCUUUCUAUAAAAAUACACAAAAACAAAUACGUGAAAUAAAUUAACUAAAAAUUAAAUUAAUAAAAUAAACAAAAAUUACAAAGAAAAAAUAAAUUGAAAAUUAAAUUACAGAAUUUUAAAGAAGAGAAAAAGAAAAGAAAUACUAACCUCUAAAUGCGGAUUCACUUUUUUUUUUUAAUAAAAAAUACAAGAAAACAAUUUAAAAUAAAUUAUUCACAAAAAUUAAUUCUAUGAAUUAAAAUUACUUACCUCCCCGGCAACGGCGCCAAAAACUUGUUGUGCAAAUUUUAAUGAACUGGCAAGCGCACGAAUCUAUUGUAGUAUAGAUCAAUGGUGACGAGUGUCGAUCCCACGAGGAGGUGGAUUUUAAUUGUAUGUAGAAUUAAUUUUGUAAAUGGGUGAUUAGAAUUGUGGUGGAAGUGAUUUAAAAUAUGCUAAAAUUGGAAUUGAAAUGACGAUAAUAAAUAUGCUAAAAUUGGAAUUGCAAUGGCGAGAAUAAAUUGUAGAGAAAAUCGAUUAAAUUGACGUACUUGGGUAUCUGGAUCCGUAUCAACAUGCAUCAUGGGCUAAAUAAUCCGUAUUAAUGCCAAUUAAAUCGUGAGGGGAGAAUCCACACCUCAUGAACCACGCUCUAAUCAAUAUGGUGCUAAGGGCUUAUCGUGCCAAAUAAUAAUAACCUUAUACUAGAGAGCCGGUGUAACCAAGGCGGUAUCUAGACAAGAUCAGUAUUAUUUGUCGACGAUAAGUCAAAUCAUCCACAAAAACUAGAGGGGAAAAGAAAAUAAAUUUACCAAAUUAAGCCCAUGACACAUGUUGAGACUUCACCUUCAACCCAAGCUUGAAAGAAAAUUAGCCACUCAUAAUUGAACUAGGGGCAAAAAGGGAAUUUAUUAAAAUACAAAGAAAAUACAAGAUGGAGAAGGAAUUACAGAAAAUGGAUCCCAAAAAUGGAUUCAAAGAUAUCAAAUUUGGGGGGGGAGGCCCCCUUUUUAUAAAUACAUGGAGUAAAUCAUGGCCAUCGGAUUAAAAACAGUUUGGACACUCAGGAUUGCGCCACGUCAUCAGUCAACAGUCCACGGUUUGACCACGCGGACAUGAACAGUAACACGGUUUGACCCGGAAUGAACAGUAAUGUGGUUUGGUUGAAAAUAAUCCUGUGUGAUGCAUGCACUGUACGUGAGAUUUUUCGUCCACUGAUAUGCUGCCACGUCACCAUCAACAGUACAUAAGAAUUUUAGUCCAACAGGAUCGUGACACCUCAUCAGUCAAUGCCACAUCAUCGGUCAAUGCCACAUCAUCGAUCCGUCUAUGUGAAUAGUGUCAUGAACAGUAACGUAGACAGUACCGUAUACGUGAAUAGUACCGUACAUGUGAAUAAUGCUAUUUUUCCUUUUAUGCUCCUCCUAAGGUUUUUCGACCGUCCUGAGUUCAAAAGUGAUGUCCGUUUUGCCAUCUGAUCUCUCCUUUAUUGUGAAAUGACUAUAAUGCCCCUAAAAUACAUAAAAUACUUAAUUAAAAUAAAACACAUGUAAUUAAAUCACAAGAAGGUUAAAUACAUAAAAGUAAGGGUUGUUAAUAAGACUUGAAAUGUAAAAUGACAGUUUUCUCCUUUAUAAAUAUUGCAUUUUUCUAACACUCAACACACCCCCUAACCAGCUUAUUGCUAGUCCCUAGCAAAUAAAGCGAAAACAAAAUUCAAAUUCAAAAUGAUUUUUUUUUUUUUUUUAGAAACACUCGUGUUUAUUCAAUCAGAUUAAUGAUAGCAAUCAAAUAAAAGUAUAAGCAUUAUCUCCAGUCUAAAGCAACAUCACACCCACAUCAACCAUCCACAUGAAUCGGCCCAGUAGACUUUGUUAUAGCUACUUUCAAGAAUGACAUGUCAAACCCCAAAAUCUCACUGGAAAGUAGUGACACUCUCACAAAGAAAUUAAACCCAAAAAAUAGUCACUCCAAUGAAUGGUAAUUGAGAGAAAAUAAUGAAAAAGUGAUAUCACAUGCUCUCACCAAGAUGAAAUAAAUAUGCCCUCAGCCUUAGAAAUAAUACAAUCUCAAGUCAAAUAAAAAAAAUGUUAGUCAACCCAAUUUAUUUUUUUAUAUGCACCACUACAUCUGUUUAGCCCAUAUAACUAGCUUCUACUUCAAACUAUAGUUCCCUAAAAUCAAGAAGGACUUUUAUUAGGACGUAACGUAGGUUAGGGACAUGGCUAACAAAGAAGGGAAAUAAGGAAAACAAAAUGUAUGUCUGAGACAAAUGUAGAAAUUUUUUUUUUUUUUUUUUAGGAAGUUGCAAGGUGGAUUUCACCUAUGAUUGUUAUUUUUAUUCUUUUGAAACAAUAACUUUUGUUUUGUUUUUUUUCUGUUUGUUUUUUUUUUUUUGCUUUUAUUUGGCAUAACUUCACUGAACAACAUAAUUAUUUACAUUUUCUCAAACAUAAAUAGGUGAUAGAACUUAUAAGACAUCGGGUAAUACUCCAAAUCGGAGUGGGCAAGAGGAUAAGUUGACAAAGAAAAGGUUUUUUUUUUUUUUAAAAAAAAAAAAAAGGCUCAAAAGGGGUAACUAUGGAUAUUUAAUAAAAGGGAUGGCUAGAAAGGCUCAAACGGAUCAAAGAUGGCCUUUCCAUCAUCUUUUAGGGCUCUAAAUAAUUAUCCAUAUCUACUGGUUAGAUGGGCCUCCUAAUGUAGCAACACACAUUUUUUUCUUUUUUUAAUUUUACCAUAUUUUUUUUAAAGGGUUAACUUAAAAGAAAUCUAGAGAUCGUGUAUAAAAUAAUAAACUGCUAAGCUGUAUAGAGAAUGGCAAAAGGGUUACUCUCCAAGAAAAUGAUAGGCUCAACAACUCACUUGACACUUAUUUAUGACAUGUUCAUUCCUUCAAGCAACUCAUAUUUGUCUCCGACAUCAACAUGUAAAAUAGCAAACAUAGCGUAACAUCACUUAAGACCAAAGAUAAUACAAAUACUAAAAUUUGAAAUUAAUCAUGUCAUCCAAUGUUAAAAUAAAUAACACAAUUUUUUUUUUUAAACAACAUUCUACCCCCCAACCUAUUCUAAACAUGAAAGGAAAAUAUGCAUGCAGAAAUGUGAAAAUGAUGUAGAAAAAAUUAAUUAGAAAAAGAAAUUUUUUUUUUUUUUAACUAAGAAGAUGCGUUUCUAGAGGCACUACACUCCAUAUUCAGCCAUCUUCGACUCAAAAAUUUGAAAAUAUAUAUUUAUAAAGGAGAAAGAGGAAGAAAACAAUUUUUUUUAUUUUUUUUUUGUUUUUUAAACGAUGAAGAUGCGUUUCUAGAGUAACUACACUCCAUAUUCAGCCAUCUUCAACACAAAAAUGUUAGCAACAGUUAGUUUCUAUAACAAAAAAUCAGUAAAAACUUAACCAAGAUUCCACAAUUGUCGACUAUUCCCUCCCCCCAACCAGAACGAAACAUUGUCCUCAAUGUUUUAAAGGAAAGAAGUAGAGUUUAGAAGACAUCACCUGGGUGGUGCAACACAGAAGAAAAUAUUUACAGGCGGAGAGUUAAAUCUAAUUUGUACUUCUUACUGCGGCUACUGUUACCAUCAUUAUUUGGUCGCUCCAACACAAAGGUCCAGGGGUCUGGCUCCGGUUUAUAAGCUUGUAACAUAUCAAGUAGCUCAUUAGCAGUGUGAGCACAAAUAAAGAGUUUUUUUCACAUUAGAAGGAAUGAAAUAGUUUUUUAUUGCAUGGUUAAGAAAUGCGAUAAAGGCAUCAUAAAAGUUAUUGACAUUUAACAAACCGAUGGGUUUCUGGUGGAUGUGCAGAUGGGCCCAAGAUGCUAGUGUGAUAAGUGCCUCUAGUGUUGCAAGAUCUCCUGGAAGGAAAAUAAAAGCAUCAGCAUGAUUAAGCAUUUCAGUUAUUCUUUCUUGCAUACCUGAGACGACUAACUCUUCUCCAGUUAAUGAGUCAGACAAACUGCCCAAUGGUUUUAGGACUCUUGGGAUGAUGCCUAACACUUGACUUCCUCUGAUAAAAGCUGCUUCUGAGACCAUUUUUUAUAACCCUCGGUUACCUCCUCCAUACACCAAGUGUAAUUUUCUCGCUGCUAUGCUUCGACCAAGAUCUAUGGCUGCCUCCACGAACUCUUUAUGUUUGCCAUAGGUAAAUCCAGAAAGCACACAAAUGUUCUUGAAUUAUCUAUUGGGAGUAGCUGCCAUUGUGAUACUUCUCAAAAACAAUUUGUGAGUGCUUGACAAAAGAUAAAUCACAUUUAAGAAUCUUGGUGACAGUGGAUCACAGCUGUGAAUGAGGUAACAUGUCAGUGUCAAAUAACGCAUAAAGCACGUGGCUCGCGAGUAAAAAAGGAAACAGUAAUAAAAUUAUUAAAGAAAAUAAUGUAAACAAUAAAACAACAGUGAAAUGAAAUAAAAUAACAGUAAAGUAAAAGGAUAUUUACACAUAGUUGCGACUGUGGCUCACAUCUUCCUCUGGUUUUACGUCCAGAAACGGCUUGAACGCCCUCUAUGGGUCGAGGAUCGGCUUCCCAUCCAGUUUUCUUAUAAACUGACAAACAGGGUCGUUUAUAGUCAGAUUCCCGAGACUAUAUCGUGCAUGCUCUUUCUGGAAUAAUGGCCAUAACCGGAGAAUCGCUCCUUGCACAUAUCCACUGGGAUGCGUUUCAAGAGACAAAAGGAUAUCAUCCAAUGACUCCUUAUUCAAGCCAUCCCUAAUGAAUUGAAUCUUAUCUUCCCUGUUAUCAGACACCAUUCCUAAAGAACAUGGGUUUUUAUCACAACUCAUUCUGGCACACUUAUGACAAGCAACAGAAAUUCUUCGAGCUCGUCGUUUUCUUGCAUAAUUUCCUUUACCACAACCAGGCAUGAAUGCAAUAAAUUUUGGAGGUAACUCACCUGCCGAUCGUACUUUAGCCUCGAUUAACCAACGGAUGUCAGCAGGUAUGUUAUUCUUCAUGAGUAAUCGCAUGCGUUCGGACCGAGCUUUAUAGAUCGUAAGGAGGGCAUUCUGAGGAAGUGAAGGGAGUCGCUUGUGAAGCUUCGCUAGAAUCUCGUUUCUGUCCAUACUUUCGCCUCAGAAUGUCAGUUAUUGUGGGAAACUGAAGUAACCGACUUGAUUGUCACGGAGUACCGUAAUCCGCCAUUUCACCGGGGUAACAAACUAAAGCACACAAACAGAAAAACAAAUUAAAACACAUAAAGAAAAUUAAAAUCGUCCUCUUAUUGAAUUUACCUCAAGCUCCAACUGGAUGUCGUAAACACUUCUCUCAAUAUCUCGGAGUUGGCUUUCUAGAUUCUCAACAUAGGCUACUAACUCUGGUGGUUGUAGAGCCCAAAUGCGAUGUGUUUUACAAAAUUGAAUCUGCCUUUUGAGAUGAGUUUUGACACGUUGAAGUGGUUUAAGAAUGUUCAGGAGGAACGGUCUAAGUAAGGUACUCAUGAUUAAAAAUGAUAAGAGAAAACUUAAUAGUUAGACAAACACAGUUAUGCAAAAAUAAUGUCAAUUAGCAAAAGAAUAAUAAAAAGAAAGAAAGAAAAAUCAAAUCAACGAAAAGAAAAAACAAAUCAAUUCAAAUCUGGUGGGUCACUCAAAUUUAUUUCGGUGUCUUCUCCAUGUGGUUGGUAUUCUAGAUAUGGCUUUAAUCUUUGACCAUUAACUUUAAACGUGACACCAUUCUUUGGGUCCUUAAUUUCAAUUGCCCCAUGUGGAAAAACAGUAUGAAUAAUAAAAGGACCAGACCAUCGAGAGCGUAACUUACCUGGGAAUAGGUGCAAGCGAGAAUUGAAUAAAAGCACUUUCUGACCUGGAGUGAAAGAUUUUCUCAUAAUGUGCUUGUCAUGAAAGACUUUCAUCCGUUGCCUGUAAAUUUUGGCAUUUUCGUAUGCAUCAUUGCGAAUUUCUUCAAGUUCUGCCAGUUGUAAUCUUCUUUCUGAGCUGGCUUGCUGCAUGUCAAAGUUGAAUUUCUUGAUGGCCCAAUAUGCACGAUGCUCGAGUUCCACAAGUAGGUGGAAAGCUUUUCCAUACACUAGCCUGUAGGGUGACAUCCCAAUCGGGGUCUUGAAAGCCGUUCUAUAUGCCCAUAAUGCAUCAUCAAGUCUUAAUGACCAAUCUUUUCUGUCUGGCCUCACUGUUUUUUCUAAUAUGUGCUUUAUUUCUCGAUUGGAGAUCUUAACUUGGCCACUGGUUUGCAGAUGAUACGGGGUCGCCACUUUGUGUGUGAUUGAAUACUUUGUCAAAAGAGCCUUGAAUGCUUUGUUACAAAAGUGGGCACCACCAUCACUGAUUAUCGCUCGAGGGAAUCCAAAGCGUGAAACAAUGUUGCUUUUCAAAAAUCCUAUCACCACUUUGUGAUCAUUGGUUCUGCAUGGAAUUGCUUCCACCCAUUUCGAUACGUAGUCAACACCAACCAAUAUGUAUUGAUGGCCAAAAGAAGAGGGAAAGGGUCCCAUGAAGUCGAUACCCCAUACGUCAAAAAUCUCAACCACUAAAAUUGGAUUUAGUGGCAUCAUGUUUCUUCGUGUAAUGCUCCCCAUUCGUUGACACCUAUCACAUGAAGAACAGAAAGUGUAAGCAUCUCGAAAUAUAGUUGGCCAAUAAAAACCACAUUGUAAAACUUUAGUCGCCGUUUUCUUAGCACUGAAAUGACCUCCACAAGCUUGUUCAUGGCAGAAUGAAAGAAUAUUCUGAAUUUCAUUUUCAGGGACACAUCGUCUAACAAUUUGGUCUACACAAUACUUGAACAAAUAUGGGUCAUCCCAAAAGAAAUUCUUUAUUUCCGCAAAGAAUUUAGCCUUGUCUUGCUUGGUCCAAUGCUCUGGAAGUUUACCUGUAACAAGAUAAUUAACUAUAUCAGCAUACCAAGGUAAUACUUCCACAUUCAUUAAUUGUUCAUCUGGAAAUGACUCAUUCAAUGGUAAUGGUUCUGUAAUUGUGUCAAAGUGGAGACGAGAGAGAUAGUCCGCUACAACAUUUUCUGUCCCUUUCUUAUCUUUGAAUUCCAAGUCAAAUUCCUGCAAAAGUAACACCCAACGAAUUAGUCUAGCUUUUGCAUCUUUCUUUGUGAGAAGAUAUUUAAGAGCAGCAUGAUCUGUGAAUAUAAUUAUUUUACAACCAAUGAGAUAAGAUCGAAAUUUCUCUAAUGCAAACACUACUGCUAGCAUUUCUUUUUCAGUAGUUGAAUAGUUCAACUGUGCAUCAUUCAAUGUCAUACUAGCAUAGUAAAUAACAUGGGGAAUUCGAUCAACUCUUUGUCCUAAUACUGGUCUUACUGCAUAAUCAGAUGCAUCACACAUGAGCUCAAAUGGUAAGCUCCAGUUUGGGGCCUGAAUGAUGGGUGAUGAUGUCAACAACUGCUUUAAUUUUUCAAAUGCCACAAGACAUGAAUCAUUAAAGAUAAAAGGUACAUCCUUAGUAAGUAAAUUACAUAAGGGUCUAGAAACUUUGCUAAAAUCUUUAAUGAAACGUCUAUAGAAACCAGCAUGCCCAAGGAAAGAUCUUACUUCUCUGAUUGUUUUGGGUGGAGGAAGAUUAGAAAUGAGAUCCACCUUGGCUUUGUCAACCUCAAUACCUUUGCUUGAAAUGAUGUGACCGAGAACAAUACCUUGUUUUACCAUAAAAUGGCACUUCUCCUAAUUUAAGAUUAAGUUCUUCUCGAUACAUCUCUGCAGAACUAGCGUUAGAUGAUGUAAACAUUGAUCAAACGAGUCACCAAAGAUAGAAAAAUCAUCCAUAAAGACUUCAAGGAAUCGUUCAACCAUAUCAGAAAAAAUGCUCAACAUGCAUCGUUGGAAUGUAGCAGGUGCAUUACAUAAUCCAAAUGGCAUUCUCCUAUAUGCAAAAGUGCCAAAAGGGCAAGUGAAAGUAGUUUUCUCCUGAUCUUUUGGUGCUAUGGGAAUCUGAUUAUAUCCUGAGUAGCCAUCUAGAAAGCAAUAAAAUUCGUGGCCUGCUAAUCUAUCAAGCAUUUGAUCGAUAAAUGGUAAAGGAAAAUGGUCUUUACGUGUGACAGAAUUCAACUUUCUAUAAUCAAUGCAUACACGCCAUCCUGUAGUUACUCUAGUUGGUAUCAAUUCAUUAUCAGCAUUGGUAACUACUGUGACUCCUGACUUUUUGGGGACGACUUGUACAGGACUGACCCAUGAACUAUCAGAAAUUGGGUAAAUGAUACAUGCGUCUAAUAGCUUAAGGACUUCUGUUCUAACAACUUCUUUCAUAUUAGGAUUUAACCGACGUUGCAUUUCCCUAGUAGAUUUAGCAUUUUCAUCAAGGUGAAUGUAAUGCAUGCAGUCUACUGGAUUUAUACCUUUUAUGUCCGCUAUGGUCCAUCCUAAUGCUCCUUUGUGCUCUUUUAACACAUCCAACAACUUACCUUUUUGUUCGUCAUUUAGGGAUGAUGAGAUGAUUACCGGCAGAGUACUUUCUUCUCCCAAAAAUGCAUAUUCCAAUGUGUUGGGCAAUGGUUUGAGCUCGAGUUUCGGUGGUGAUUCUGAUGAUGGGAUGAGUUUCUUUUCUGAUGGUGCUAGUUGUUCUACUCUUGACUUCCAUUUAUUAGUGUCCAUGGAUGGUGCUGAGUCAAGUAGGGCGUUGACCUCUUCGACCGAUCUGUCAAUAUCAAAAUCCAAACUAAAGUGAGUUAAACAUGUUUGUAAAGGAUCAUCACUAAGGUUUGAAAGAAAUGUAUUAUCAACUAUUGUUUCUAUUAAAUCCACAUCAACAAUUCCAUCAUCUGCACUGUGAGGUUGUUUGGCAAUAUUGAAAAUGUUUAGCUCCAUAGUCAUGUUGCCGAAGGACAAUUGCAUAUUUCCGGUCCUACAUUGAAUAUGAGCAUCUGCAGUUGCCAAGAAAGGUCGGCCUAGAAUAAUGGGGAUGUGCUUCCUUGAGUCCUGUAUUGGUUGAGUGUCAAUUACAAUGAAAUCAACAGGAAAAUAAAACUUGUCCACCUGGAUAAGCACGUCCUCCACAAUACCACGAGGUAUUUUCGUGGACCGAUCUGCAAGCUGUAACACCACUGGAGUUGGGUGUAAUUCUCCAAGUCCAAGUUUCACGAAUACAGAGUAAGGCAAAAGAUUUACACUAGCUCCUAAAUCCAACAAAGCAUUCUCAAUUGUGUGGUUCCCUAUACUACAUGAGAUAGUGGGGGAGCCUGGGUCUUUGCAUUUUAAAGGAAUUUUAUGUUGGAGUAUAGAACUAACGUUUUCUGUUAAAAAUGCCUUCUUUUGAACAUGCAUGUUUCUCUUUUUAGUACAAAGGUCUUUAAGAAACUUGGCAUAAGAUGGAACUUGUUUAAUAGCAUCAAGCAAAGGGAUGUUAACACUUACCUGUUUGAAGAUUUCAAGAAUCUCACCUGUGGAUUUUCCCUUUUUUCCUUUCGCUAACCUCUGAGGAAAUGGAGCUUUCAGAACGUAUUCUCGUGGGUUGGUUUCUUCUUUUUCCUCCGGUGGUGAGUCCUCAACAUUCACAGGUACAAUUUGAUUUUCUUUUGUCACCGGUAUCUCCACUUUAUUGUCGACUUCUUUUCCUUUUCGCAAGGUCAUGACUGCUUUGACCUCUCCAUGCUGCUGUGGUGAACUGGUACUUGCUUCAUGUACUCCUUUAGGAUUAGGCACUGGUUGACUUGGAAACUUGCCUUUCUCAACAGUAAUUGCCAAGGUCUGAACUGAAGAAGCGAGUUGUCCCACCAUCUUCUCGAGGCUUGAAACUGAUUGGGCUUGUGAGUUGAAGCCCGCUCUCAACUCAUUUCGUAGUCCAUCAAUGGUGCGGUUCUGUUGCUCAAUCGUGGAGUGAGUAACAUUCUUGAAAUUCUGGAAUGCAUCCUCCCAUGGUCUGGGUUGAGAGUAGUUCUGGUUCUGAUUGUAUGGUCUGAAUGGUGGCUGAGAGGCUUGAGGAUUUUGAGGAAUUUGUUGCAUUGGUGGAGCUGGAGCAGCUGGUCCAUUCUGUUGGAAUCCUUGAGACCAUGAAAAAUUGGGGUGGUCUCUCCAUCCAGGGUUAUAUAUGUUGGAGUAUGGGUUGUAAUUCGAUGGUUUUCUCAUUACACCUAUGGCAUUGGCUUGAUCGGAGUAUGAGUCAUGGUCAUGUGGUUCUGUUGAUUUAGCAGUCGAUAACGAUGCUAUUUGUCGAGCAAGACCUUCAACCAUCUACUUGACUUCUUUGAUUCCCGAAGUUGACUCGCCAAUGUGAACCUCAUUCACUCCUUUAAUCCUUCUAGUAUUCCUGAGUGAUCGACUCCGUUAUUGGGAAUUGUCCGCUUGUCGCUGGAAAAACUCCCAAAUUUCUGAUGCACUUUUUGACAUUAGCUCUCCUCCACUUGUUGCCAUUAGCCAUUCUUGCACAUUCGGCAAUAAUCCCUCCAAAAAGUAUUGGCAUUGGUGCCAUUUUUCGUACCCAUGAUGUGGACACUUCAAGAGUAGCCCAUUGAAUCGCUCCCAUGUUUCGAAAAAUUGCUCGUCCUCUCUUUGUGUAAACUCUGAAAUUUCCCUGCGAAUAGAAUUGGUUUUAUGCACUGGGAAAUAUUUAUUCAAAAAUUUUGUAACCAUUUGUUCCCAUGAUGCAAUGCUAUUAGCAGGCAAUGUAUUAAGCCAUGAACGAGCUCUAUCCUUUAAAGAAAAUGGGAAUAGUCUAAGUUUAACAUCAUCGUCUGAAAAAUUUUCAUAUUUAAAAGUUUGACAAAUGGCAUGAAAAUCAUUCAGAUGAUUAUAUGGGUCCUCAUUUUCUAGGCCAUAGAAUGUGGGGAGACAAUUUAGCACACUAGGUUUUAAUUCAAAACUCCUAGCAGCUACAUUUGGGUAUCUAAUACAUGAUGUACUCAAAUUAGCUAAGGGACUAAAAUAGUCCUUAAAUGGCCUCUCCUGUGGUGCUUGUAAAUCCAUUCCAAAUUUAUUUUUAAUGUGCUUUUGUGUGCGAAGUGUUUUUUCUAGUUCAAGGUCUAUAGGUUCAAGAUUAGGUAAUAAUGACCUACGACCAUGCAUGCAAAAUAAAUAAAAUAAAAAUAAAGAUGGGAACAAAAACAAAUAAAAAUAAAGAAGAGGGAGAAAUUACGAUACUAAUCUUAUUGCGCUAUUAUAACCUUUCUAUAAAAAUACACAAAAACAAAUACGUGAAAUAAAUUAACUAAAAAUUAAAUUAAUAAAAUAAACAAAAAUUACAAAGAAAAAAUAAAUUGAAAAUUAAAUUACAGAAUUUUAAAGAAGAGAAAAAGAAAAGAAAUACUAACCUCUAAAUGCGGAUUCACUUUUUUUUUUUAAUAAAAAAUACAAGAAAACAAUUUAAAAUAAAUUAUUCACAAAAAUUAAUUCUAUGAAUUAAAUUACUUACCUCCCCGGCAACGGCGCCAAAAACUUGUUGUGCAAAUUUUAAUGAACUCGCAAGCGCACGAAUCUAUUGUAGUAUAGAUCAAUGGUGACGAGUGUCGAUCCCACGAGGAGGUGGAUUUUAAUUGUAUGUAGAAUUAAUUUUGUAAAUGGGUGGUUAGAAUUGUGGUGGAAGUGAUUUAAAAUAUGCUAAAAUUGGAAUUGAAAUGACGAUAAUAAAUAUGCUAAAAUUGGAAUUGCAAUGGCGAGAAUAAAUUGUAGAGAAAAUCGAUUAAAUUGACGUACUUGGGUAUCUGGAUCCGUAUCAACAUGCAUCAUGGGCUAAAUAAUCCGUAUUAAUGCCAAUUAAAUCAUGAGGGGAGAAUCCACACCUCAUGAACCACGCUCUAAUCAAUAUGGUGCUAAGGGCUUAUCGUGCCAAAUAAUAAUAACCUUAUACUAGAGAGCCGGUGUAACCAAGGCGGUAUCUAGACAAGAUCAGUAUUAUUUGUCGACGAUAAGUCAAAUCAUCCACAAAAACUAGAGGGGAAAAGAAAAUAAAUUUACCAAAUUAAGCCCAUGACACAUGUUGAGACUUCACCUUCAACCCAAGCUUGAAAGAAAAUUAGCCACUCAUAAUUGAACUAGGGGCAAAAAGGGAAUUUAUUAAAAUACAAAGAAAAUACAAGAUGGAGAAGGAAUUACAGAAAAUGGAUCCCAAAAAUGGAUUCAAAGAUAUCAAAUUUGGGGGGGGAGGCCCCCUUUUUAUAGAUACAUGGAGUAAAUCAUGGCCAUCGGAUUAAAAACAGUUUGGACACUCAGGAUUGCACCACGUCAUCAGUCAACAGUCCACGGUUUGACCACGCGGAUGAACAGUAACACGGUUUGACCUGGAUGAACAGUAACGUGGUUUGGUUGAAAAUAAUCCUGUGUGAUGCAUGCACCGUACGUGAGAUUUUUCGUCCACUGAUAUGCUACCACAUCACCAUCAACAGUACAUAAGAAUUUUAGUCCAACAGGAUCGUGACACCUCAUCAGUCAAUGCCACAUCAUCGAUCAAUGCCACGUCAUCGAUCCGUCUAUGUGAAUAGUGUCAUGAACAGUAACGUAGACAGUACCGUAUACGUGAAUAGUACCGUACAUGUAAAUAGUGCCAUUUUUCCUUUUAUGCUCCUCCUAAGGUUUUCGACCGUCCUGAGUUCAAAAGUGAUGUCUGUUUUGCCAUCUGAUCUCUCCUUUAUUGUGAAAUGACUAUAAUACCCCUAAAAUACAUAAAAUACUUAAUUAAAAUAAAACACAUGUAAUUAAAUCACAAGAAGGUUAAAUACAUAAAAGUAAGGGUUGUUAAUAAGACUUGAAAUGUAAAAUGACGGUUUUCUCCUUUAUAAAUAUGCAUUUUCUAACACUCAACACUUGUAGUGAAUGGUGGUGGUGGUAGUUGAGCAUUUCAACUAACAAAUUAUCGCAACAUACGUGUUCAUCUGCCUUCAUAACUCUAUGUACUCCUGUGUUUUCCAUUAGCUAAAUGUUUAUAUUCAAAUUAACCUUAAACUUUUUCCUGUAGUUUAUAUAACCCUCAUUUGCAAACUCAUCAAGUUUGUCACCAUAAGUAAUUGUGCUAUCAAAUGCUCAUCACGAGGCUAUACACUUUUCUACUGAAGCUAAUGGCCUUUGGGGCAACCUUCUCUGCUACAAUUGUCGUGGCUACAAGCCAUGAGGCAACUACCUUCUUUGCAGUGUCAUCAUUUUAAGCUAAGUACAGUGCCAUGCUGCCAUUUAAGUGGGUUAUAUAAUUAAAUUCAAUGUCAUGCAUGCUUUAUAAAUUAUGAUCAGGUUUUUUAACUUGCGUUUUUUAAUAGCAAAUGAAGUUGUAAGCAUCUACCGCUUUAUGGUUCUGUUUAUUCUUUUCAGAUAGUCUGAUUUGGCAAUUAGUUAAUCCUUUGCAUGUGGUAAGAGCCUAUUGCCCAUCUUACAAGGGUGGCUUUAAACAUAGGUGACCCAGGUUGCUGUCUAGGGCCCCAUAUGUUAGAAUAGCCCAAUUGUGGUUGUCUCGUCUCUAUAUGUUAAGAAGAAUUUUGUUUUAGUAUUUUCUUGAUAUGGUCAAAUUAAUAGAUAUCUUAGAUUAUACUUACAAUAAGAAAGCUUAUUUUUCAGGCCACUUUUUUAUUAAUAAUUAUCCUAUUAUUAAGAUUUUUUACACAAAUUCAAUAUUUGAUAGCAUUAUUGCUAAAGAGCUAUAGUUAAUAAUGUUUUUCGCUAUUAGUUAUUUCAAGAAAAACCAUAACAUUUUUGUGAGUUUAAAAAAAUUAUUAUUUAACAUAUAAAAUUCCUUGCGCCUUUCUCUAUAAGGAAAAUUGUUAUGUUUAUUUGCUCAUUUUUAAGUAAAAUAAAAUAUUUUCUUCAAAUAAUAAUUUUGAAACAAGUAAAAACAAAAAUAUUUUCUUGGCUAUUUUUCUUUUUGAAAUUUCUUACUGCCUUGUUGAUUAUUAGUACUCAAGUUGUCAAAAAUUGAUUGCAUUUUAAGAUAUUUUAUGUUUCUUUAAUUGUUAAAACUGAAAGGCCUUGUAAAACAAUUUUUGCCCAAGGUCCCAAGUAAUUUAGAACUUACUCUGCGUAGCAUAAAGCUAGUAACGUUAUCAAUAAAUCAAAAUUGAGAUUGUAUAAGUCUUAUUGAUUUUGUUCAAUGCUCUGGGUGGCUGGGUUUCACAGUGUUGCUCAUAUCAAGCAUAUUUGCUACCUUGGCAAUAGCUCAAGUGGGCAAAAAGGAAAUUCAUCAGUACGCUAGCUACUAGUUUGCCUCCAAGUACCCCACUACUGUGAUCAAAUUAUGGGAGCAUUAACUGCUGGCUUCAUUGGACUCAUUAUCUAUUUGCUAUUGCUUCUCUAUUCAAUCUACACAAGAGUGCUUAAUCCCUUACUUGUUCAAAUGACUAGAUUCGUUGUCUCAUGUCCUUUUGGUCGCCUAGUUUGAGAAUUUGUUUCUUCUUUUUAUGAUGCUUCAUGUACGAUAAAAGUGUGUGAUUGGGAACUUGUAUUUUCAAGAGCAUUACAGAACAAAGGCAAACCAAGAAAAGAUAAAAACUAAUGACAUUGAUUAAAAUUCUGUGUGCUAAUUAAUCCUACAUGUUAUUCUUAGUGGUAACUACAUUCGGGUCUUGAACUUUGUAGGAGCUAACAUUAUGCAGUCUUUAUUUUGCAUCAUCAAAUGAUUAAUCUUAAUUGCUAUCUUUACUUUCAUUAUUUUCUUAUCAAAAUUUUUUUUUCUUCUCUUACUAAUUAGCUGCAUAAAAAUUAACAAACUAAUACAUUAUCAUUUUUAAGUCAUCAAUUAAGUAAGCAUUUUAGAUUAUUCAGCCAAAUAACAAAAAUAAAGAAAUAUCUAAAUUUCAUUUACAAAAACGUAUAUAAAUUAAAGCCAAACUAGCCAUCUCAAAUAAAUAAAAGAAUAUAUAUUUGCAUUUAAAAACAAUUGAUUUAAACCAUUUUGUGAUUUAAAAAAAAAUAGAAUGAAAUAAAACAAUUUAAAAUAGACGAAAGUAAAAAGCCAAUAUUUUUAUUUUCAAGUGACAAACUAAAAAUUCAAAUUACUGUGAGAGUGUGACUUGUGUUGUGCUGCCCAAUAAUUGUAACUAGCCAACAAAUUGUCGAUUUCCUUGUAUAAUUUUUUUUUUCCUUUUUGAAUGUGAUUUGCAAAUAGACCUUCACAGCAUCACCACAGCAUUCAUCUAAUUAAAGAAAGAUUUUUCUUUGUUUAGUAUAUGGGACAAAUAAGUGUCAAAAAGAAAAAGAAAAAAAUUUAUUAAUUGGGGGUAAACUUCAAUUCAUCCCCAUUUCAAUAAAAAUCUUCAAUUUACCCGCCAAAAGUUUGAAAAUCUUAAUUUACAUUAAUUUUGGUUUAGAAGAUGAACGUAAAUAGCGGGCACGUUGUUAGAGUGCAAUUUAUGCACUAGUUUUGCAUUGUUUACUUCUCUUAAUAUCGAUGUUUUGCACUUAAUAAUAUAAUUUACUUCUGUUUUACUUUUGUAGGUGCAAUUUUAUUAAUUGGCGAUAAAAUUGAGCUACAAGAUGAUGUUUAAGGAUGAUUGUUCUCUUGGAGAAAUUAUGAGCGUCAGAAGAACUUUGUUGAUAAGGCGUGGGCGCGUGCUGUCAACUACGGACUUGCAGUUUUUAGUUUAACGUGUUUUGUAUUUUUGGUUAUUUUUGUAAUUACGAAUUUAAUAUUUCAGAUAUUAGUAUUUUAUUUUAAAUAAAAUUCUAGAGGAGAAGAGAGAGAGAGUAUUUAAGGGAGGAAUCUAUUGUGAAAAAAGAGAUUUUGGAGAAAAGAAAGAAACCCUAGAUCUAAAUUUUUCUCUUCUCUCUAUGAAGAACUAAACCUAUUAUUCUGGUUGAAGGUUAAUGAAACUUUGAUUCAUCACUACUGUGAGAUCUUUCUUAUGCUUUAAUUGUUUUAUUACUUUUUGGGUAUUUAUUUAUUCUCUGAAUUAUUAUCAUGAUUAUGUUUGUUAAUUAGAUAAUUGGCCACUAUUUAAUUAUCAACUUAAUCUAUUGUCAAUUAAAGAAUUCAUCGUAUGAAGAUUUUAAUGUUUGUGACAAAUAACAUAGCAGAGAGUUGUGUUGUGAGAAUAAACAAUCUAAUUUAAAUGAACCAUCGUAUGUGUUUGUUGAUUAGAAUUUGGGUCUCUCUGGUUUUUCAGGUUGUCAAUUGAUUAAAUCCUAUUAUCGUAUCUAGGGUUGUCUAUUGAUUAGGGAAAUAACCAACGGUCGUACCUUAGUUAUCGACUAAUUAAGGAGAGAUUGACUAUUAGAGGGUCUCAGUAGCUAUAACCGGUCUAUUCAUAAAUAGUAAUAAUUUAUAUUUGAAUCAAUGAUCAGUAGUCGAAUCAAGCUGAGUUAAUUCCUUCAACCAAGGCUUUCUCUAAUUUGAAUUACAACUUUAAUUUGCAUUCUUGUUAUUUUAAUUUGAUUUUUAUUAUUGUCAACAAUUCCCUCAUUUUACGUUUUACAUUUUAAAAGGAUUUAAAUAAUUACCGAUCUUUGUGGACACGACCCUACUCAAUCACUAUACACAAUUUAUUUAGAGUAUGUAUUUAUUUUUGCUAGCUUCGACAACCAUCAAAUUUUGGCGCCGUUGCCGGGAUUGGUGUCAUUUAUUUAAUCCUUUUUACGUUUACUUGGUGUAUGGUUCGUUCUUCUCGUACAGGUACACUUUCGUUUGAUCCUGAAAUUGAGUAGAAAGCUCGCUAGCUGAGACAGCAAUCGAAGCAAGCUAAGCAACGAUCCUCGUCGCCUUUGCUUUCUUAAACAGAUACAGUGCCUGAUUUGGUUGAAUCAUCUAGCGAUUCAGAAGAACAAAUGAUGGAUAGAGCUGCACCUGUAGAAAGAACUCUUAGAGAGUUAGCUGAACUAGACUUGAAUCAGCAACCACUCUGCAUUCAAUAUGUAGACUUGGAGGUAAAUUUUGAAUUAAAGUAUGGUCUUAUUAAUUUAUUACCCAAGUUUCAUGGUUUUGCAGGUGAAGAUCCUCAUAAACAUCUCAAGGAGUUUCAUGUUGUAUGUUCAAGUAUGAGACCACAAGGCGUGACUGAAGAGCAGAUUAAGCUGCGUGGUUUUCCUUUCUCUUUAGAUGGAAUAGCUAAAGACUGGUUGUACUACUUGCCUCCUGGAUCGAUUACAACGUGGAAUGGUUUGAAGAAGCAGUUCCUUGAGAAGUACUUUCCUGCUUCAAGAGCUGUCAACAUCAGAAAAGAUAUUUGUGGGAUUAGACAACUUCUUGGGGAGACUUUGUAUGAGUAUUGGGAGCGAUUCAAACAAUUGUGUGCCAGCUGUCCUCAGCAUCAGAUUUCUGAUCAACUUCUUAUUCAAUAUUUUUACGAAGGAAUAUCAUUAAUGGAUAGGAGUAUGAUAGAUGCUUCUAGUGGAGGUGUGUUGGUGAACAGGACUCCUACUCAAGCAAUUGAGUUGAUCUCAAGUAUGGCUGCCAAUGCACAACAAUUUGGCAGCAGGCAAGAUGCCACUUCAAGAACGGUGAAUGAGGUAAAUAUUUCUUCUGUUGAACAACGUUUAGAUAAACUUACUUCUCUUGUGGAAAAGUUUGUUGUAGGUAAUGUGCAACAGGUAAAGACUUGUGGCAUUUGUUCCAAUAUGGGUCAUUCAACUGAUAUGUGUCCUACACUUCAAGAAGAACUCGUUGAACAAGCCAAUGCAGUUGGAGGAUUUCCAGGCAUGCCUUAGAGGAGGUAUGAUCCUUAUGCACAAACAUACAAUCCGGGAUGGAAGGAUCAUCCCAACUUCAGCUAUGGAGUUAGGCCGUCAGGAUUCCCACAACAGUAUCCACCAAGACAACCAGUACCUCCACAGUCAAACUCCAAGUCAGGUAUAUCUCUUGAAGAAAUUGUUAAAUCACUUGCGACUAACACUCAACAAUUUCAGCAGGCAACUACAACAAGCAUUCAGAAUUUAGAGAACUAAAUGAGUCAAUUGGCGACUACAGUGAGCCGUCUGGAGUCUCAAGUAUUAGGGAGGUUGCCUUUACAAUCUGAGGUGAAUCCAAAGCAAAACGUUAGUGCUGUCAUCCUUAGAAGUGGGAAGGAGUUGCAAGAGCCUAGUAAGAAAGUGACAAAGCAUGUAGAAGAUGAGCUUGAGAAGAAUGAAUUGAUGCCAAAAUCUCAAGAUGCGCAACCCACCAGAGCAAAACCCCUACCUAUUGUGAUACCUCCUCCUUUUCCAAGCCAGUUUGCAAAAUCUAAGAAGGAGGAACAAGAUAAAGAUAUCCUUGAGAAAUUUCGUAAGGUUGAGGUAGAUAUUCGUUUAUUAGAUGCUAUAAAACAAAUACCUCGAUAUGCUAAAGUCCUUAAGGAACUGUGCACCUCCAAGAGAAAAUUAAGAGGAGAUGAAAAAGUUCACAUGGGGGAGAAUGUUUAAGCAGUUCUCCAAAAGAAACUACCUCCUAAGUGUAAGGAUCCAGGUAUGUUUACUAUCCCUUGUAAAAUUGGUAGUGUUAGAGUUGAAAAGGCUAUGUUAGAUCUAGGAGCUUCUAUUAAUGUCAUGCCUCGUUCCAUUUAUUCAUCUUUGAAUGUUGGUCCAUUAAAAGAAACUGGCUUAAUAAUUCAACUAGCUGAUAGGUCUAAUGCAUAUCCUGAUGAGGUAUUAGAAGAUGUCUUAGUACAAGUUAAUGAGUUAGUUUUUCCUGCUUAUUUUUAUGUACUUGAUAUGGAAGAUGAUAACUCCUCUAAUUCUGUCCCAAUUUUGCUAGGAAGACAUUUUCUUAAGACUGCUAGGACUAAAAUGGAUGUACAUAAAAGGACUCUCAUUAUGGAGUUUGAUGGAGAAGUUAUAGAAUUCAAUAUGAAUGAUGCCAUGAAAUAUCCUAAUGAGGAACAUUCAGUAUUUUCUGUGGAUGUUAUUAUCCCUAUAGUGCAGGAAGUUUUUUACAAGGAAAAGACGAAGACAUUUCAUGACAUAAUGAUUUUGAGAAAGGAGUUCUCUAUUGGUCAAAAAGUUCUUCUUUUUCAUUCUAAGCUUAAACUUUUUCCGGGUAAAUUACGUUCUUACUGGGUUGGACCUUUUAUUGUUACUAAUGUUUUUCCUCAUGGUGCAGUUGAGAUUCGGAGUCCGACCUCUGACAAAGUUUUGAAGGUUAAUGGUUAUCGCUUAAAACCUUUUUAUGAAGGUUUUUCGGUGAAUAUUGUGGAGAAUGUGGCUCUCGAGAGUCCCAAUUAUGGAGAUUGAUGCAUAAAUGUGUCUAGCCAAAGACAUAAAACAAAUGCGCUUUUUUGGGAGGCAACCCAAAUGAUUUAUUUAUUUUGGUUUUUGUUAUAUCUUCUUUUAAUUUUGAUUCAGAUUUUUUAAAAAAAUAAUGUGUUUGCUUAUUUUGGCCAGAAGAAAACUUUCGAUAAGGCGUGCCCACGUCUUAACUAAUAAGUACUUCUGUGAUUUUUAAAGUAAAAUGGUUUUAAGGCGUGCCCAAGUGCUUAUUAAAAAAGUACUUCUGAAAUUUUUAGUGUCUCAAAGUGAUUCAUCACAAAAAAAAAAGAAAAUUUAAUUUUAUCUAUUUAUUUAUUUGAAAAAAAUGAAAUUAAAAAAAAAAGAUUUUCUUUUCUUCUUUCUUUUAUAUAUUUAUUUAUUUAUUUAUUUAAAAAAUGAAAAAAAAAAUCAAAAAUCACUGUUCACAAAAUCCCUAAUUCAAAACAAAUCAUUUUCUUUCCCGCAGCAACCAGCCGCUCUAGCCUUCACCACGCAACACAGCCAUACAGCAGCAGUAACAGUGCGCGAGCAACAGCAACUGUGAGCACAACACAGCCCACGCAGCAUCAGCAGCAGCUGUGCACGCAACCAGCUCUAUCCUGCACGCGCGCAGAUCCAGCCUUCACCGAGCAGCCACGCAGCACCAGCACCCCGCAUCCAGCGAGCAGCAGCUCGAGCACGCAGAUCCAGCCUUCACCCAGCAGCUCACAGAACCAGUGUUAGCCCAGCUCUCGCGCGCAACACAGCCCACGUAGCGCGCAGAUGCAGUAGCCCCAGCACGCAGAAUCAGCCCUAGCCCGCGCGCGCAACACAAUCAGCUCCAUCCAGCAUCCAUCAAGCAAGCUCCAACCGAACAUCAAUCAUCCGCAACCAGCCUACGCCCUGUAUUCCAGCCGCGUGAAUCAAAAUCCGUGAGUGCAAUUAUUGUAACAAUGCCGAAGAGGAAAGCAUCAACUUCCAAGUCAUCUAAAAAGACACCCGUCGCAAAGAAAUCCAAGAUUGCCGCUCCCACUACGGUUCGAUGGAACAAAGUUUCAGAUUCACGGCAAGCCGUGAGACAAAGAUCGAAACAUGGAAAAGGCAUGAGUGUUUUGCCACUUGCGGAAUCCAAUCUCGGAGGGUGCCUCGCAUUCGCGACUCAACAAGAGAAAGAAAAGUACAAAGAUAUUUCCAAGCGAAAAAUACUUCCAGUUAAGUAUAUUCAUUACCCGACUCUUGAAAAUUUGAAUGUUAAGGAUAAUUUUGAUUCUUUGAUAUAUAAGAUUGGUUUGCGUAAGUUUGUUGAUGUUGAUUGUUUGGGUUAUGUUGAGUUGAUUAGGGAGUUUUAUGCUACUUUUCAAUUUAUAUAUUGAAUGAUUUUACUUUGCAUACCUCGGAUGUUAUAAAGUUUAGGUUAAUGGGACGAAAAUUUUCACACUCUAUCACGGAUUUUAACCUAGCUUUAGGAUUCAUUGAUGAUGAUUAUUCUUCUAGUGAUGCAUAUUUAGGAACAACUUGUGACUUUAGCGAAAAUUUUGAGCCUUAUGGUCUUUGGCGUAAUUUAUCUGUUGAUCACAAUGCCUAUGACCCGAGUAAACUUACGUAAUCCUGUUUUGAAAUGUGUGCAUCGAUUCUUAGCAUAUAAUUUUUUAGGAAAGAAAGAUCACUCAGGAGUUUUCUCUAAAACUAAAUUUUAUUUUAUCUGGUGCAUGUUAAAUGACGUGAGGUCUAAUUUAGGUUUUUGGUUAGCAGAUCAAUUUCAAAGUGUGCUUAAACGGUAUAGGACUUUAUUUCUUAGUCCAUACAUUACUCUGUUAGCUAUAAACCUAUGUGUGCUUGAUCCUGACAAUAAUGAUUUGCAUCCUGCUUGGAAAAAGGAAUUUUUGGAUAUGUCUGUGUUUGAAAGAACAGGUGUGGUCGAAUUCAAGGAGGGGAGAUUUCAGUUUACUGAACCAGGACCCACUCAACCUCCAAAGAAGCUCUAUGCUAGGAGUGGUGCUACCUCUGAUGACGAGUUUGACGACGACACUGCUGCCCCGCCGACUAUUCCUUCUACAUCCGCAUCACCUCAGUUAGAGAAAAUGGAGCACAAGCUAAACAAGAUGGAGCAGAAUUUGGUUGCAUACUUCGAGAGUGUGGGAUUUAUCCCACCAUUUCCGCCAAGCCCAUAGACGUUAUGAGGAUCAAAACUCACAAUUCAGGGAAGUUUUUUGCCUUUAAUCUUUUAUCCUUACGCUUUAAUUUUUAUGUGAGCUUUGAUUAUCUUACAUUGGGGACAAUGUAAGUUCUUGGUGUGGGGGAGGGAGUUUUGCAUUAUUGAUGUCUGGAAGUAUUAUUUUCACUCUACUCAUCUAUUUUCACUAUACUCAUCCUUAAAUGAUUUUGAAGUUAGUAUACUUCAUAUAUUAUUAUUUUUCUUUUCUUUUCUUUCUCACUACUCUUUUCCCAUCUAUCUCAAAUUAUUUACAUCUAUUUUUAUUCUAUCAUACUCUUUCAUCACUCACAUUUUAUCUUUUACUUUUCAUAUUACUAUAUACAUCUUUCUCAAUUCUUAUCAUUUUUACCUUUCCUUUUAUAUAUCACUCAUACAUUCUUCUCAUUCUACACCACUAUUGAUGGUUGAUUCAUUUGAAGAGUAUACAUGAUUUGAUGGCAAAUUUAGCAACUUUGUGAGGAUUUGAGCCUAUGAGCAACCACUUUGCUCUAAUAUUUUUGUUAUGUGAAUAUCAAUCUUAGUUUGUUUAUUCUAGAACUUGCUUUAUUAUGCAUGUUGAAGCCACAUUACGGGAUUUUAUACAUUAAAAUGAUAAGGGCAAACCAUUUUCUAUUUUUCUAUUCUCACAUUUUUCUUUUUUUUUUUCUCUACCCGAAGACCUUUAUUUGCUAUCUUUGUUUGAGCCUUAACCAUUACCCAUCUAAUUCUCUCCGCCUACUUAACCAUUUUUCUUCUUUUUGAGCCUCAAUUUAAGGAGAUUUUUGGACUCAUUGUGUGGAUAUAUUUUGUAUAUAUUUUGUUGCUUUUUCUACCUUGUAUUAAAGUUUCUCAAUUAGAUCAACAAGUAUUAUGCUUGAAUUAAAUUCUGCAAGGUUCAUUUCUUUUGUUUGAUUCAAAAAAAAAAAAAAAAAGAAAAAGGAAAAAAAAAGAAAAAGAAAAAUCGAAAAAAAAGAAGAAAAAAAAUGUUUACAUUCUUGGUGACUUGAGUAGAAAUAAGCGUUUCGAUAUCAUAAGGUUCAUUCAAUGAGUUCAUUCUUCUCAUUUUGAUCUUUUUUUUUUCUUUCAUAAACCUUUCUUUUUCAUUUAACCCAUUUAACCCCGUUACAACCUUUUUAAGACCCUUAGAUUUUUGCAUUUAAUUCAUGUUUUGUGGAUUGAGAUGUGAUAUAUAAGCAAGCUUAUGGUAAUAGCAUUCUUUGAUUUGAUUUGAGUGCAUAAAUGACACCCUAAACACUUUGAGUGUUGGAGUGAAGUCAAUGAGAGGGCUAUUAAAUCUUGUUGCACUUGAAUUUUGAAUGGAUCUUCUUAGUGGUUGAAUGUUUUUAUUCUAGCUUAUGAGAUUCUAUGCUUUAAAAUCCUUAUCUCUCGAAUGUUGAUCGACUUAAAUUCUUGAGGUAUGCUUGCUUAAAAUUGUUUUUGGAUGAGUUGAGAUGAGAAUUGAGUGGAGAUUUGGGAUUCGUCUUGAGUUAUAUGCUUGAGGACAAGCAUCAUCUUGGUGUGGGGGAAUUUGUUAGAGUGCAAUUUAUGCACUAGUUUUGCAUUGUUUACUUCCCUUAAUAUCGAUGUUUUGCACUUAAUAAUAGUAAUUUACUUGUGUUUUACUUUUGUAGGUGCAAUUCUAUUGAUUGGUGAUAAAAUUGAGCUAUAAGAUGAUGUUUAAGGAUGAUUGUUCUCUUGGAAAAAUUAUGAGCGUCAGAAGAACUUUGUUGAUAAGGCGUGGGCGCGUGCUGUCAACUACGGACCUGCAGUUUUUAGUUUAACGUGUUUUGUAUUUUUGGUUAUUUUUGUAAUUACGAAUUUAAUAUUUCAGAUAUUAGUAUUUUAUUUUAAAUAGAAUUCUAGAGGAGAAGAGAGAGAGAGUAUUUAAGGGAGGAAUCUAUUGUGAAAAAAGAGAUUUUGGAGAAAAGAAAGAAACCCUAGAUCUAAAUUUUUCUCUUCUCUCUAUGAAGAACUAAACCUAUUAUUAUGGUUGAAGGUUAAUGAAGCUUUGAUUCAUCACUACUGUGAGAUCUUUCUUAUGCUUGAAUUGUUUUAUUACUUUUUGGGUAUUUGUUUAUUCUCUGAAUUAUUAUCAUGAUUAUGUUUGUUAAUUAGAUAAUUGGCCACUAUUUAAUUAUCAACUUAAUCUAUUGUCAAUUAAAGGAUUCAUCGUAUGAAGAUUUUAAUGUUUGUGACAAAUAACAUAGCAGAGAGUUGUGUUGUGAGAAUAAACAAUCUAAUUUAAAUGAACCAUCGUAUGUGUUUGUUGAUUAGGAUUUGCGUCUCUCUGGUUUUUCAGGCUAUCAAUUGAUUAAAUCCUAUGAUCGUAUCUAGGGUUGUCUAUUGAUUAGGGAAAUAAGCAACAGUCGUACCUUGGUUAUCGACUAGUUAAGGAGAGAUUGGCUAUUAGAGGGUCUCAGUAGCUAUAACCGGUCUAUUCAUAAGUAGUAAUAAUUUAUAUUUGAAUCAAUGAUCAGUAGUCGAAUCAAGCUGAGUUAAUUCCUUCAACCAGGGCUUUCUCCAAUUUGAAUUACAACUUUAAUUUGCAUUAUUGUUAUUUCAGAAAGUCAUGAGCCUCUAUUUAUAUGAAUGAAUAAUGAGAAUCUCGCUACAAUGACUUUAAUGGAAUUGAAAGAUUCCAUAAAUAAGGAAAAUAAAACAUGCUGCGUUUGUUUCCAUUAACUGUUGAUUUUAAUAUCGUGUCGCAUUAUGAAGGCAAUUUCAGUAUACAUUUAAUUAAUGUUAUCGUUUUUAGUGUGAUUAUUUUGUUUAGUUUAUUAUUAGAUUUUUUUCUCUUUAUAUCAAUUGUGAAGCUAUUUUCUAAUAUAAAGACCCUCUACAAGUCUACAUUGCCCUUCAUUUGGUUUCAUUGGGUGAUUCGUGCAUAAGAUUAUCUCAUUAAAUUGCAAGGAAAUUAUUAAAGAAAACAAAAAUCAAUUAUUUACACUUGGUCAAGUUGGCUUGUAUGAAUGAGGAGGUUGAGAUAAUGGUAGAUCAGCCCUCAUGACCCAUUAGUAAGAUUGCCCUUCAUUUGGUUUCAUUGGGUGAUUCGUGCAUAAGAUUAUCUCAUUAAAUUGCAAGGAAAUUAUUAAAGAAAACAAAAAUCAAUUAUUUACACUUGGUCAAGUUGGCUUGUAUGAAUGAGGAGGUUGAGAUAAUGAUAGAUCAGCCCUCAUGAUCCAUUAGUAAGAUUCAUUCAACAACUCUAAAUAGAUCAGCAAUGCUCCUUACCAUUUAUAGGAUUUGAUUUUAUCAUUCCAUUAGAUUGAUUCAAUUUUUUUCCCUAUUGUAUCAAAUGACUGAUAGAGCCGACCAAAAAACAAAAUAGGCUUGCACAUAUUGGGCAAUCAAAAGCCUAUACAUAUAGCUAAAAAAAUUGAAAACUUGUAGUGAAUGGUGGUGGCGAUAGUUGAGCAUUUCAACUAACAAAUUAUCGCAACAUACGUAUUCAUCUGCCUUCAUAACUCUAUGUACUCCUGUGUUUUCCAUUAGCUAAAUGUUUAUAUUCAAAUUAACCUUAAACGUUUUCCUUUAGUUUAUAUAACCCUCAUUUGCCAACUCAUCAAGUUUGUCACCAUAAGUAAUUGUGCUAUCAAAUGCUCAUCACGAGGCUAUACACUUUUCUACUGAAGCUAAUGGCCUUUGGGGCAACACCUUCUCUGCUACAAUUGUCGUGGCUACAAGCCAUGAGGCAGCUACCUUCGUUGCAAUGUCAUCAUUUUAAGCUAAGUACAAUGCCAUGGUGCCAUUUAAGUGAGUUAUAUAAUUAAAUUCAAUGUCAUGCAUGCUUUAUAAAUUAGGAUCAGGUUUUUAACUUGCGUUUUUUAAUAGCAAAUGAAGUUGUAAGCAUCUACGGCUUUAUGGUUCUGUUUAUUCAUUUCAGAUAGUAUAAUUUGGCAAUUAGUUAAUCCUUUGUAUGUGGUAAGAGCCUAUUGCCCAUUUUACAGGGGUGGCUUUAAACAUAGGUGAACCAGGUUGCUGUCUAGGGCCCCAUAUGUUAGAAUAGCCCAAUUGUGGUUGUCUCGUCUCCAUAUGUUAAGAAGAAUUUUUUUUUUGUAUUUUCUUGAUAUGGUCAAAUUAAUAGAUAUCUUAGAUUAUACUUACAAUAGGAAAUCUUAUUUUUUAGGCCACUUUUUAAUUAAUAAUUAUCCUAUUAUUAAGAAUUUUUACACAAAUUCAAUAUUUGAUAGCAUUAUUGCUAAAGAGCUAUAGUUAAUAAUGUUUUUCGUUAUUAGUUAUUUCAAGAAAAACGAUAACAUUUUUGUGAGUUUAAAAAAUUUUAUUAUUUGACAUAUAAAAUUCCUUGUGCCUUUCUUUAUAAGGAAAAUUAUUAUGUUUAUUUGCUCAUUUUUUAAGUAAAAGAAAAUAUUUUCUUCAAAUAAUAAUUUUGAAACAAGUAAAAACAAAAAUAUUUUCUUGACUAUUUUUUUUUUGAAAUUUCUUACUGCCUUGUUGAUUAUUAGUACUCAAGUUGUCAAAAAUUGAUUGCAUUUUAAGAUAUUUUAUGUUUCUUUAAUUGUUAAAACUGAAAGGCCUUGUAAAAAAUUUUUUGCCCAAGGCCCCAAGUAAUUUAGAACCUACUCUGCGUAGCAUAAAGCUAGUAACGUUAUUAAUAAAUCAAAAUUGAGAUUGUAUAAGUCUUAUUGAUUUUGUUGAAUGCUCUGGGUGGCUCGGUUUUCACAGUGUUGCUCACAUCGAGCAUAUUUGCUACAUUGGCAAUAGCUCAAGUGGGCAAAAAGGAAAUUCAUCAGUAUGCUAGCUACUAGUUUGCCUCCAAGUCCCCCACUGCUGUGAUCAAAUUAUGGGAGCAUUAACUGCUGGCUUCAUUGGACUCAUUAUCUAUUUGCUAUUGCUUCUCUAUUCAAUCUACACAAGAGUGCUUAAUCCCUUACUUGUUCAAAUGACUAGAUUCAUUGUCUCAUGUUCUUUUGGUCGCCUAGUUUGAGAAUUUGUUUCUUCUUUUUAUGAUGCUUUCUAUACGAUAAAAGUGUGUGAUUGGGAACUUGUAUUUUCAAGAGCAUUAUAGAACAAAGACAAACCAAGAAAAGAUAAAAACUAAUGACAUUGAUUAAAAUUCAGUGUGCUAAUUAAUCCUACAUGUUAUUCUUAGUGGUAACUACAUUCGAGUCUUGAACUUUGUAGGAGCUAACAUCAUGCAGUCUUUACUUUGCAUCAUCAAAUGAUUAAUCUUAAUUGAUAUCUUUAAUUUCAUUAUUUUCUUAUCAAAUUUUUUUUUCUUAUCUUACUAAUUAGCUGCAUAAAAAUUAACAAACUAAUACAUUAUCAUUUUUAAGUCAUCAAUUAAGUAAGAAUUUUAGAUUAUUCAGCCAAAUAACAAAAAUAAAGAAAUAUCUAAAUUUCAGUUACAAAAACGUAUAUUAAAUUAAAGCCAAACUAGCCAUCUCAAAUAAAUAAAAGAAUAUAUAUUUGCAUUUAAAAAAAAAUUGAUUUAAACCAUUUUUUGAUUUAAAAAAAAAUUGAAAUGAAAUAAAACAAUUUAAAAUAGAAGAAAGUAAAAAGCCAAUAUUUUUAUUUUCAUGUGACAAACUAAAAAUUAUAAUUACUGUGACAGUGUGACUUGUGUUGUGCUGCCCAAUAAUUAUAACUAGCCAACAAAUUGUCGAUUUCCUUGUAUAAUUUUUUUUUUCCUUUUUGAAUUUGAUUUGCAAAUAGACCUUCACAGCAUCACCACAAUAUUCAUCUAAUUAAAGAAAUAUUUUUGUUUGUUUAGUAUAUGGGACAAAUAAGUGUCAAAAAGAAAAAGAAAAAAAAAUUUAUUAAUUGGGGGUAAACUUCAAUUCAUCCCCAUCUCAAUAAAAAUCUUCAAUUUACCCUCCAAAAGUUUGAAAAUCUUAAUUUACAUUAGUUUUGGUUUAGAAGAUGAACGUAAAUAGCGGGCACGUUCAUAAAUUUUCUAUUCAUUUUCUUACCAGUAAAUGAGGGUACGUUGAUGUUUUCACAUUUUUUAGGGGUAAAUUAAAGAUUCACGGGGCGUAAAUUGAAGUUUACCCUACAAAUAAAUUCAAACGGUUUUGUAAUAUAAGAUUUCGAUAAAACAUAAAAGUUCAAUUUUUAUUUUGGUUCGGAUGCAAUUAGCCUCACCCUAAAAGAAAAUUGACUUAAAAUUCAAAUAUCACAAAUGUACUAAGAUAGUAAUAAUGAUCGCUUGAUCAUUAUUAGUAUUUCAAUAGAUUGCCUUCUCGUAGAUUGAUUCAACGAUAUGUAUACAACAAAACAAAGCCAAUUCACACACCAAAAACACAUGACAUAACAUUACGUACUCAUAAUGAAUUAAUUUCUUAUUUUAUUAAAACACAUUUUCAAUUUCACUGCAAUUGAUUAUUGUUGCAAAAACACUCAUAAAAGAUAAACGAAAUAACUGAUUAUCAAAAUCAUUUGCAUCCCCCCGGGGGACAGUAGUAGAUAUAGUUUGCAAGAGCUUUCUUUAACUUCUCGAUCAAACACUCUUCCCUUGUAAGCCCUGAGCAAUCAACAAUUUCAGGUGAUGCUGCGGGAUUAUUAGAAAAUGAAGCAUCUGGGUGAUAUCCUUGGCUAAAACGACUGGCUGUAAUAAGUGUGCUUUUAGUGUUUGCCACUACAAGCAAAGCCAAGAUGAUGAAACUAAGACUCUUCGACAUUUUCUAUUUUUUAAGUGAAUUGUAUGCAACUUAAUAAGAAUUAAAGGAGAUGUGUGAAAUUCAGAAAGUCAUGAGCCUCUAUUUAUAUGAAUGAAUAUUG
rnacentral:lncRNA from 1 species